rnacentral:lncRNA from 1 species
CCUUACAGUUUUAGUCUUCAAACUCUGAUUCGGCCGACAAACACUUUGGCCCUCAAACUUUAAUUUGUUGUAUUUUUUAGCUCAGAUUUUUUUAAAGUACAAUUUAGCUAAUUGGAUACUGAUAUUUUGUUGAUGCAAUAUUAUUGCAUCUUAAUAAUUGUUAUAUCAUCAAUUAUAGCACUACUGAAUCACUACCAUAUCUGGAUACAUCAUUAUUUAAUAGAUUAAACUAGAUUGUGUGACUUAACUGCAAUAAUUUAGAAAGUUUGAGUUAAAAAAUGUGAAGUAUAAAGUUUGAAGACCAAAAUAUUACGGCCCUCAAAAUUUGAGGACUAAAGUUUCAAUUUAGCCUAAUGUAUUUUUAGUAAUUCACUUGAUAUAUGAGUAACUAAAGUUUGUAAAAUUUAUCAAUCAAUAUUAAAAUUAGCUCAGAUAGUAACCACACUAAAAUUCGAAAAAACCAAAAACAAAAAACAAAAGGGGAAAGCAACAAUGUGGUCAAUACCACAAGUCAAGUCAAAGUCAACAUUUAUUUUUAUUAUUAACUAUUAUUGUCUACAAUAAUCUUAAAAAAAAAAAUAAAAAUCUACAUGCUGGUGCGGAUACAUUAAAAGGGGUCCAUAAAUAUUAUUGAUAAGUCAUGUGAUCAUCCCAAGCUCAGGAAGCGUGGGUGGCAAUCCAGCUCACUGUUCGUGAGUGAGUUUGUAUUCGGUUCAAAAUAAGUUCGAGAUAGAGUUACUCAUUUGGUAAACGAGUCGAACAUGAGCUGGGAUCAGCUCGUUUGUGUUAAGCUCGAUAACAGCUCAAAUACAUAUAUUUUAUAUUUACAUAAAUUUAUAUAAAUAAAUAUAUAUAUAUAUAUAUAUAUAUAUAUAUAUAUAAAUUUUUACUAUUUAAUUUUUAGUCCAACCUAAAUAUAAAACCCAACUCAAUUAUAAAAAUGUUUAUUUAUAUAUAUAUAUAUAUAUAUAGAGAGAGAGAGAGAGAGAGAGAGAGAGUCCGGCUACUAUGCUAUUAAUAGCACGAAGCACUUGGUGCUACCAAGUNNNNNNNNNNNNNNNNNNNNNNNNNNNNNNNNNNNNNNNNNNNNNNNNNNNNNNNNNNNNNNNNNNNNNNNNNNNNNNNNNNNNNNNNNNNNNNNNNNNNNNNNNNNNNNNNNNNNNNNNNNNNNNNNNNNNNNNNNNNNNNNNNNNNNNNNNNNNNNNNNNNNNNNNNNNNNNNNNNNNNNNNNNNNNNNNNNNNNNNNNNNNNNNNNNNNNNNNNNNNNNNNNNNNNNNNNNNNNNNNNNNNNNNNNNNNNNNNNNNNNNNNNNNNNNNNNNNNNNNNNNNNNNNNNNNNNNNNNNNNNNNNNNNNNNNNNNNNNNNNNNNNNNNNNNNNNNNNNNNNNNNNNNNNNNNNNNNNNNNNNNNNNNNNNNNNNNNNNNNNNNNNNNNNNNNNNNNNNNNNNNNNNNNNNNNNNNNNNNNNNNNNNNNNNNNNNNNNNNNNNNNNNNNNNNNNNNNNNNNNNNNNNNNNNNNNNNNNNNNNNNNNNNNNNNNNNNNNNNNNNNNNNNNNNNNNNNNNNNNNNNNNNNNNNNNNNNNNNNNNNNNNNNNNNNNNNNNNNNNNNNNNNNNNNNNNNNNNNNNNNNNNNNNNNNNNNNNNNNNNNNNNNNNNNNNNNNNNNNNNNNNNNNNNNNNNNNNNNNNNNNNNNNNNNNNNNNNNNNNNNNNNNNNNNNNNNNNNNNNNNNNNNNNNNNNNNNNNNNNNNNNNNNNNNNNNNNNNNNNNNNNNNNNNNNNNNNNNNNNNNNNNNNNNNNNNNNNNNNNNNNNNNNNNNNNNNNNNNNNNNNNNNNNNNNNNNNNNNNNNNNNNNNNNNNNNNNNNNNNNNNNNNNNNNNNNNNNNNNNNNNNNNNNNNNNNNNNNNNNNNNNNNNNNNNNNNNNNNNNNNNNNNNNNNNNNNNNNNNNNNNNNNNNNNNNNNNNNNNNNNNNNNNNNNNNNNNNNNNNNNNNNNNNNNNNNNNNNNNNNNNNNNNNNNNNNNNNNNNNNNNNNNNNNNNNNNNNNNNNNNNNNNNNNNNNNNNNNNNNNNNNNNNNNNNNNNNNNNNNNNNNNNNNNNNNNNNNNNNNNNNNNNNNNNNNNNNNNNNNNNNNNNNNNNNNNNNNNNNNNNNNNNNNNNNNNNNNNNNNNNNNNNNNNNNNNNNNNNNNNNNNNNNNNNNNNNNNNNNNNNNNNNNNNNNNNNNNNNNNNNNNNNNNNNNNNNNNNNNNNNNNNNNNNNNNNNNNNNNNNNNNNNNNNNNNNNNNNNNNNNNNNNNNNNNNNNNNNNNNNNNNNNNNNNNNNNNNNNNNNNNNNNNNNNNNNNNNNNNNNNNNNNNNNNNNNNNNNNNNNNNNNNNNNNNNNNNNNNNNNNNNNNNNNNNNNNNNNNNNNNNNNNNNNNNNNNNNNNNNNNNNNNNNNNNNNNNNNNNNNNNNNNNNNNNNNNNNNNNNNNNNNNNNNNNNNNNNNNNNNNNNNNNNNNNNNNNNNNNNNNNNNNNNNNNNNNNNNNNNNNNNNNNNNNNNNNNNNNNNNNNNNNNNNNNNNNNNNNNNNNNNNNNNNNNNNNNNNNNNNNNNNNNNNNNNNNNNNNNNNNNNNNNNNNNNNNNNNNNNNNNNNNNNNNNNNNNNNNNNNNNNNNNNNNNNNNNNNNNNNNNNNNNNNNNNNNNNNNNNNNNNNNNNNNNNNNNNNNNNNNNNNNNNNNNNNNNNNNNNNNNNNNNNNNNNNNNNNNNNNNNNNNNNNNNNNNNNNNNNNNNNNNNNNNNNNNNNNNNNNNNNNNNNNNNNNNNNNNNNNNNNNNNNNNNNNNNNNNNNNNNNNNNNNNNNNNNNNNNNNNNNNNNNNNNNNNNNNNNNNNNNNNNNNNNNNNNNNNNNNNNNNNNNNNNNNNNNNNNNNNNNNNNNNNNNNNNNNNNNNNNNNNNNNNNNNNNNNNNNNNNNNNNNNNNNNNNNNNNNNNNNNNNNNNNNNNNNNNNNNNNNNNNNNNNNNNNNNNNNNNNNNNNNNNNNNNNNNNNNNNNNNNNNNNNNNNNNNNNNNNNNNNNNNNNNNNNNNNNNNNNNNNNNNNNNNNNNNNNNNNNNNNNNNNNNNNNNNNNNNNNNNNNNNNNNNNNNNNNNNNNNNNNNNNNNNNNNNNNNNNNNNNNNNNNNNNNNNNNNNNNNNNNNNNNNNNNNNNNNNNNNNNNNNNNNNNNNNNNNNNNNNNNNNNNNNNNNNNNNNNNNNNNNNNNNNNNNNNNNNNNNNNNNNNNNNNNNNNNNNNNNNNNNNNNNNNNNNNNNNNNNNNNNNNNNNNNNNNNNNNNNNNNNNNNNNNNNNNNNNNNNNNNNNNNNNNNNNNNNNNNNNNNNNNNNNNNNNNNNNNNNNNNNNNNNAUAUUUAUAAAAAAAUUAUGUAAUUUAGUCUAUAUACUAAUAUAAAAUCUAUUCGAAUUUGAAUUAUAUUGGAAUUCAAAUUCAUCAAAUUUUUAUUUUUCAUAUAUCAAUUACUGCAAUAAUAAAUUAAUAAUAAUAAUAAAAUGAAACGACCAAAAGAGAAUCUAUACACCGUACACCACUGAUGUCACACCACUGCCACGUGGGCCCACCAUCACGAGGAAUUCUACACUGUCACACUUGCACCACGUCAUCAAUAACAAGCCAAUCAUAUUCCUUCUUUUCAAACAAAAGUACAAUAAAAAUACUUUUUUACAAUCAUGAUGGAACAUAUAUUCUUAAAAGCAUUAAUUUGAUUGGUUUGUUACGCCACGUCACUAAUAUACCCGUUGUAUUCUAGAAUUUUUCCACCAUCACCCGCACCGGACCAAUCAUAGCCGUCCUUUUCCCAUUCCACUGCCACAUCAAGAGGUUAUUCCAUGCACCGAGUGUAUAACUACAUCUCAUACACCGCAAGCUUAAAACCCCAUGCUUUUUUCGAAUAUGUUAAAUGCCAUUUAAAAGUUUUAAACACCAAAAAUCACUUUUCAUUUUUUUUUUCAGUAAAAAAAUAUUUCAAAUAUACUUUUUUUAAGAUGUUGUUAUGGGGCCAAUUAAUUUUAUUUUAUUUUAUUAUUCCAUAUAAGAUAAUAAAUACUAUAAUUAUGAGUGAUCUCAUAAUUUUAUAUAAAAAUAAUAUUAAAAAAUAUAUAAUACUAAAAUAUAUAAUUUUACUAUUUUAUAUCAUACUGAUAAAUUGCCAAUAUAUUGAUGAAAAAAUUGAUAAAAACAUACAGAACUUACAUAAAUUAUCGACUAUUUUGAUUUGGCUAUCGAACAUUUCAAAAUUUUGCAAUUUAUUUGAUCUGAAUAAGUUGAAAGUAUUUUGAUUUUAACAUCUAAAUAUAUUAUUUAGGUUUACAUAUUUAAUUAGUAUAUUUUAUGUAAUUCUCUUUUUUGAGAAAACAGGGAUAUACCCUAUUUGUGAGAAUAAUACAAAGGACCACUGCCAAAGGUCAGUAGUUAAAGUCCAAGAAAGCAGAGACUAAGAGCAACAUAAGAGAAAAGAAAGAAAUUAAACAAAAUGAAGAUGGCUAAUAUAAUCAACUCCUACUAGCUUCCCACCACAGCUAACCAAAGUUUGACCGUAUUUAUGACCCUAUUUCCAGUCUCCUCACAGCGGAUGAGGCGGCCGUUGAAGAUUCGGCCGUUUCUCUGAUUCCAUAAUUCCCAACACGCCGCUGCCAAACAGAUAUCAAAGUUUCUUUUUAAAAGCCCCUUCAGUGAGUGUCUUGCUCGAUUCCACCUGGUUGGUAAGCUACCUGGGAGAUCCAUCACCAAUUUGUGAGUAUUUGGAAUAUCUUUUAGGAGGUAGUUCCACACCAUCGUAGCAUAAUUGCAGGAGAAGAGGAUGUGCUCAAGAGUUUCGUCGUCAGCAUAGCAAAAAACACAGAUUGAGGGGCCUUGCCAGCCCCUCUUAGAUAAAUUGUCGGCUGUCAAGAUUUUGUUGCGACCAGCAAGCCACAAGAAAACUUUAACUCUUAAGGGGAUUUUUAGUUUCCAGAGGUAAGGGGUAGUGCAUACAUCAAUUCCAUCAAAGAUUAAGAAGUCAUAAGCUUUCCGCACAGAAAACUUUCCAUCCUCACCCCAGCGCCAAAUAGCCUUGUCGUCGCAAUCAGUAAGUGCGGUAUUUUGAACCAAGGCGUUGAACGGCCCAAGCUCACGCUGUUGUUGCUCUCCUAAGCACAGUAUAGGGUGGAGGUCCAGGCCGGUAUUGUGUGCAAGCCGUCGAAUCCAAUUUUUGAUUGAUAGUUGCUUAUGAAUCGAUAAGGCAUAAAGAUUUGGAAAUUGAUUUCGAAGGGUGAGCUCUCCCGACCAUCUAGCAUUCCAGAACGACGUAAUGUUCCCAUUGCCAAUGGAGAAGUAAGUAGAAGUAUGAAAUGCCUCAGAGGUGCUGAGUACGCCUUUCCAAAAUGGACAACACGUAGUUGGCCUAUUGCUUCCCAGGGAUGGUGGCUUCUGCUUGUAGUGUUUUUGCAAAAGUAGUUUGACCCAGGUUAGGUUCUUAGUGUUGUAGAAGGUCCAAAAGCCCUUCAUUAGUUGGGCGGAGUUCAUCACUUGCAGAUUGCGGACACCCAAACCUCCGCAUNUAUAUAUAUAUAGAGAGAGAGAGAGAGAGAGAGAGAGAGAGUUGAGCUAGAAUACUAUCGAUAGCAAACGGGCUCCGUUGUCACCCAUUUGUUUUCGAUAGAGCCUCCAAAUCGAUGAUCAGCAUCGUUGAACAUGAUCUAUAUUACUUGAAGUGUUUAGGAAUAAAAUUUUAAAUCUUUUCGACAUUAUUUGCCUAAUGAUCAAAGGGUUUCAAAAUUUGUAAUUUUAAUGGUCGAUAUGAAGCGUUUUCUCGUUUAACGGCGUAAAGAUAUCCGAAUCAAUUGAACUUUUGUUAGAAAAUUCUUUAAACUAUUUAAAACUAAAUCUAUACUUUUGAUCUUAACUACAAGACUCCUAUCAUCAUUUUUUUAAAAAUAUUCAUUUUCAGCCGUUCAUUUCUGUGUCCACUCGAUGGAUAAGAGAAUAAUAUCGAAAAUGUAUGAAACUUGAUUUCUAAACACUUCAAGUGGUAUAGAUCAUAUUCAACGGUACUAAUCGUCGAUUUGGAGGCUCUAUCAUCGAAAACAAAUGGGUGGCAAUAAAACCCGUUUGCUACCGAUAGUAUUCUAGCUCGACUCUAUAUAUAUAUAUAUAUGUAAAGUUUUAACUAUUAGAUCAAAAUUUGAUGAGUACAAUUUUAUAAAUUUUUUUUCUAUAUAUAUUCUUUCUAAUCAUUUUAACUUGUUAUUGGUGUGCCAGCUCGUAUUCAGCUCGUUAAUAAACGAGCCGAACACGAACUGAAUUUUUCGACACAAUAUUUUAACGAGCCAGCUGGUGUUUGGCUUGUUUAUGAAAUAAGUCUGAACACGAGCCGACUCCAGCCACUCCAUCCUUUUUUUUUUUAUCUUAUAAUUGAGAAAUCUCAAACAGUGAAUUAUUUUGGUUUUUUAAAUUUGGCUUAAUUACACUUUUACUUUUCAAAUUAUAAGACAAAUAAUAUUUAUUGUGAUUUUUGACAUAAAAUUUUCAGGUUGUGGUAAUCUAGUUUCGCAGUAUGAUUUAGUCGACGAUAUACUAAUGUGCAACUUAUAUAGUAAUGAUAUGAAAUUUUAAUCAUUUUUAUAUCAUAAAUUACCACAAUAUUACAUUACUAUUAAAGGAGCGACACAUCUUAUUCAACAAACUUAAUCAGAGUGCUUGAUUUGGUUGCAACUAUUUAUUUGAGCUAAAAUUAUAAUACCAAAAGUGUAUUAGGCCUAAAAAUUUUGAUUUGUAUUUGCUAUUAUUAAGCAAAAUAAGAGUUCAACCAAAUUUAAUGGUAAUAUUGUUAUAUUUAAUUAUAUAUAGUAUUUUUUUCAGUUAAUAAAACAGUAAAAUUUUAGAAGCAAUAACAACUGGUGACUUAAAUAAUUGAGAAAGAAAAUUUGAUGAAGAAUAAAAAAGAGAGAGAGAAUCAUGUUGGAAAAAUAUGCCAACAUAAGAGGAAAAAAAAAAGAAUUCCAUUAAAAAUAAAAAAAAAUUCACCACACCCCCUACUGCUGCCCAGUUCAAAUCCACAUUAAGCCUCCACGUAGAUUUGAACUGGGCAUUCAUAUAUGUUUAUAGAUAAUUUAACAAAAUAUUAACAGAGGAGCUGACGAAAAAAAAAAAAAGAAAUCACAGGAUAUUAAAUUGAUACACUUUAAAUUAUAAAAUACUAGAGUGAGAAGGCGCGAAGCCACUGUGGUGGUAUUUGAAGUUUGCUUUUUAUUAAUUUAAAAAUUCAGAAUAAUUAGUAAACCAAAAAAAAAAAAGGAUAAUUAAAGUAUCGUUUUCAAUAUUUAAUAUUGUUGAGGGGUCUCCAUGCAUUUUUACCUAAAGGUUGCUUGGAACAACAGUGUGAGGGGGGAGAGAGAGAGAGAGAGAGAGCUCCUAAAACCCUAGCUCUUCUCUCUUUCGCAAUCGAUCUCGACCCUAAAACCCUAAUCUCCCAUGGCGGAGGCCGAUGGAGAUCCCCAAACCCUAGCCUCCGCGCCGCAGAUCCUGAAGCGGAAGCCCGAUUGCGAGCCCCUCGCGGACGCGGCGGCGGAGGAGGAGGGGAGGAAGAACCCUAAAGAGCCGCGCCCGGAGAUGAUGAGUACAGAGGACCAUGGGGGAGGCCACGGAGGAGAGGUCGAGGACGGAGUCGAGGAGGAGGAGGAGGAGGAAGGGGGGGAUGUGAACGGGAAGGGGAAGGGGGUGUUAACCGCGGCGGAUAAGGGGAAGGGGAAGAUGAUAAUGGAGGAGGAGGAAGGGGAAGAGGAGGAUGAGGAUAAGGAGGAGGAAGGGGACAUUGAGGAGAGCGAUGAGAGUAGUGAGGAGGGUGGUGGGAUCGGAGGAGAAGGGGAUGGGGAAGAGGAGGAGGGGGAGAGCGAUUUCGAGGACGAUCCCCUCGCGGAGGUCGAUCUCGACAACAUCUUGCCCUCGAGGACGCGGCGGAGGGAGCCGCCCCCACCGGGCGCGUACCUCGUCACCGACGACGAGGAGGAUGAUGAGUCUAGUGAUUAGAUGAUAUGAGGAGGUGGAAAUGAGGUAAAUUUCGUUAUAAAAGUUGGUUAUUAAAGUCAAAUUUAGUGCAAUUUAAGAUGCGCAUAAACUAUGAACUUCGAAAAUGACAUGAGAUGGCGUAAACAAGGUUGUUUCGCGGCGAAAACCACUUCUAGAGUAAUGGUUUAGUGCCACAAAAAAAAGGUGAUCUCAAAUUGUGCUGAAGUUUACUGCUUAUGGUGUGACAUUGUUUGUUUUCUAUUUUUGGUUAUUCCGAGUUUAGCAUGAAUUUAAUUGUUUAGUUGUGUCUGGAUGGAUGGGUGUUAAAUCAGUUAAAACUUGCUAUUUUGGCUCAUUUGGAGCAAAUUUAGAUUAUGAAAAAGUGCACAUUUUUGCCCAACUUAUUCACUUGAAUCAUCCAUUUUAGUGUUAGAAAUGGUGAUUGUGAAAUUUCUUUAGGUAAUCGCACUAUGCAGGUGGAGUUAUAAAGCUUGCUAGUUGCUAGUUCUUGAUGAUUUAGGCAAUUUUUCAUGCUCUUUCGUUAUCUACAAUUUGUAGAUACUGAGAGGUAUUGAAAUGAGCUUAUAAAUAUGAUGUUGUUCGAGCUCUAUAUUAGUGCUUAUAUCCCCGCUAAGUGUUCUAAUAAAUCAUUCGGAACUGUUAUGAUGUGUAGAAGAACAGCUGAAACAGUUAAACAGUCGGGAAUGAGAAGUAUAACUUAUUGUGGUUUUCUACUUUUAGUUGUUCUUUUUCUGCUUUUGGUUAUUCAAGAAUUUUUCUGAUGGAUGUCAUACUUGUUUAUUAAUUUUUUUCUCCCUAUUUAUUUUGUUUUGUCUACAUCUUUCUGCUGCUAUCACUGUAAUUUUCUUCAACUUUUGUGGUUUUACUUUCACUGAGAUAGUAAGAAUAGGCUUGAAAGUUAAGUUCCAACAUUUCAAGUCCUUAGAAUUCGAUUUCUAUACAGGUGUUUGUUCACUAGGAAGUUAGAAAGUGAAAUUACUUUGUUCACUAGGAAGUUAGAAAGUGAAAUUACUAAAGGCACUAGCCAAUAAAAAGUUAGAUUUUCUCAUCAAACUCAAUACAAGUGCUGACAUUUGCUCGCUUGAGUUCUCUUAAAUUUGAUUUUCUAACAUAAAAAUAUAGACCCUAAAACUAUACCGUUUUCUGUAAUGCAUGAUUCAUUUUGGAGAACCUAAGGUGUCCGUUUUCUUGCUGAAACCCAGUUCUAGGUCUGUAGUUUCACUAAUCAAACUUUCCUUCAACUAUCAGUCUAGCUGCUUAUCUGAGUCGUCUAAAAUUUGAACUUAGAAAUCGUAUUUGAUAAUGGCUUAAUUAGCAUCGCAUAAUCUGAAUCAGAUGAUAAGAUCCUACAUUAAAAAUGGACUGCAGAAUUGCACCAUGAUGAUCUUUCUGUUUCAUUUUGCUCAAUGUCUUAGCCACCCUCCGAUAGUUUGAAGAGUUUGUAUUCAUCAUAUCUCUAUCUUCGUUGUCUACUGCUGACAUGUUUGCACAAUUAUACCACUGUUUGUAUCAGAUUUUUCUUAGCUGCCAUGGGCGACAAAUAAAAUAAAAUGAUAAAAAGUAUUUGUCAAUGUUCAGUCAAUGGUGAUUCUGUUGCUGUUUCAUCUGAGUGUCUGUUAAUUUUCAGUUGAUAGAAAUUCUGUCGCUGUUUCAUUUCUCUUCGUUCCAUCUUUGGUGUUAUAAAUAGAAGGAAAAUCUAUUCCUACUGCUUAUGUUGGUGGUUUUAUACGUCAUUGUACUAAGUAAUUUUUGCUCGGUUUUUGUCAUGUGGGUCGAAUUAUUACAUGAGUUGAGCUUGAUUUGGCCUGCCACAGUUGUGUUCAACUUGUGUAAAGUUGUUAGGUAUCAUCAUUCUCGAAGUUCUUUCACAUCAAAUAUAACGUGAGCUAUAGAGUUAGAAGUCCAUUUUAUGAAUCUUCUAAGAUUCGACUGAAUUUUACAAUCAGCAUGAAUGAGAGUUUAGCUAGCAUGAGUAAUAUUUCUCCAACCUGAUCUCUGCUACAACUUACAAGCAAGCUGGCAUUGCGUGGCGCUUCACACGUUCUUGUUUCAUACACACUUCGACAUAAGUAGAGCCACCAAGUCAUCAACUAUUUUUGUUGCUUCAAAUUAGUGAACAACAAUGGUAAGAUGGUCAAAUUAGUCACCUUCAAGGAGUCCGCAUUAUGCCAUCAUUGAGUGGGGCUUCGCACUUUCAGAAAAUCUGCAUCAUGCUUCUCUUAUUUUACGAAGUCAAUUAAGCUACUUGAAUAUCUCGUCAAAUAUACAUCUCAAGUCUUAUUUUGCUGUCCAUGUGUCUAGUUCUAUUCAGAGUGAAAUACUCUGAUCAUUAUAUUUUGCUGUAGUGUAAGUUACGGCAUGUACUUCAAAAUAGCUGGGACUUGAAAUGGACUUUUCUCGAAGUUUAGAUGCAAAGAUUUAUGUCAACUACUUAAUUGUAGUGUUUUCUCGGUGCAGGUAAAUCGGCGAUCAUGCCCUGUAGCUUUCUUGGAAAAACUCAAAAACUUAGGGGUUUUCUCCAAGCGGUAUGUGUUUUCCGUAAGUUUCCGUUACCUCUCUGUUCGUGCUGUUUCACUUUUUAUCGGAGAAACACUCCGCGUAGGACAUCUCUUAUAGGGCAUUAAAUGAGUAAUGUGCUAUAAAGCGGUGGUGAAGAUUCUAAUUUUGAUAUCGCACGAGGCUUAGCUUUUUAAUAUGUAUAGAUAACCUGUUGUCGAAACUGGUUUGGUAGCUUACAAGUUCUUCUGACUACACCUAGUUGGUUGUUGCAGCUUAUUUCCUGUGCUAAAAAUUGUUUGAUUGAUCUUUAUAUUCAUUUGGUUAAAGUAAAGGGAUUAAGGAUAAUAUGAUAUUUGGGCGAAAAUAUAUGGAUUGUCUCGGACUCUCGGUUCUUAUCUAUGUUCCGACCUCGUUCCUGUAGUUUCCGAUUGAACAUUUUAGUUCCUGAACUUUAACAUAUAUUUCAAGUAAUUAUAUUAUGAUGUUCAUGUACUUUGUUUUGCUCGUUGUGGAGCGCUUGUUCUGCUUGGCUUUUUGAAUAAUUUCUCUAUGAGCAAUAAUCGGAAAUUAAACAAAUGGGAAGUAGGAAGAUUCUGCUGUUGCAAGAAGCUUCAGAAUUAAAAGCUUGUUUUUUUUUUUUUUUUUUUUUUUUUUUUUUUUUUUUUUUUUAUAUAUAUAUUUUGCCCCAUUAGAAGCUUUUUUGUAAUAACAAUAUUUCUGUAAAAACUCAAUAAGGCAAAUUACCACUUUUGGUCCUUAAACUAUGGGCACGUGACUCUUUAGUGCUUAAAUGUUAAUUCGUUACAAUUUUUGGCUCCAAGUUUCUAAAUUAUUGUAAUUAAUUCGCACAACUCAAUGUUUUUUUUUGACAAAUAUUGAUUAAUUAUUAAUGUCGAAGUGAUGCGGCAUCUUAAUUAUUGUUGCAUUAUCUAGCGAAAAAAUUGGAUUGUGAGAUUUAAUUACAGCAAUUUAGAGAGUUUAAGUCGAAAAUUAUAUUGAAUUAAAGUUUCCGAACUAAAAUGUCACGCCCCUCAAAGUUAAAGGACCAAAAGUGUAAUUUAUUCUAGAAAAUAUUCUAUGGACUAUUCUUCGUUUUUAUAUAAUAUAAUAAAUAAUUAAUUAGGUGCGAUUAUUCGAUGCCUGGAAAAUAUUCUUUUUAAAAUUGAAAUUUUAUAGUCUAUGCAAUAAUUUCUCCUAUAAUUGCUCAGCUACCACUUAGGUAGUCAAAUGUACUAUAUAUUAAUAUUUUAAAACCACAGGGUGGAAUCCCCUGUUAAAGCUGUAGCACAACUCGUAUGAAAUUACAAAUUAGGGUUAGUUGCACUAUUGCUCCUCAAUCUUUAUUUCUUUUUUGUUUUGGUCCUCCACCUCUUACUUUUUGUAAUUAGAUUCUUAAUCUCUAAAAAUAAUUGCACUAUUGAUAUGUAACUUCUUCAUUUUUUUUCACUUUGGUCCUCAACAUUUUAAUAAUAAAUUUUAUGCAAUUGAGAGAGAGAGAGAGAGAGAGAGAGAGGGUAGGGCUGUUGAUCUAGCUCGCUGUUUAUAUGUCAACUUGUGUUCGACUCGAAAUUGGUUUGGACUCCGCUCGCUCGUUCAAUAAACGAGCCGGUCACGAGCUAAAUCAGCUGAUCUUAGCUUACUCGUGUUUGGCUUAUUAUGACUAAAAAAUAAAUAAAUAAUACAAAUAAAUAUUUUUUUGUCUAAUAUUUAGCAAAUUUGAAUACUAUUUUUAAGUUUUCGCUUAUCGAUAGCGCAACUUUAAAAUUUUAAUACAAUACUAAUUAGUUAUACUAAGAGCAAUAGUAAGCACCAAUAACAAUAUUAAUAAUAACACCAAUUAUAAUUCUAGCUAGCUUGAAAUAAAUUUGACCUAGCUUGGAUUAUUUUCGAGUUGAUCUCGAGCUGGCCCCAACUCAUUCGUGUUUUUCUCGUUUACGGCCCUAAUUAUAAUACAUCUAAAUAAAUAAAUAAAUAAAUAAAUAAGAAUAAUAAUUAAGUACUUUUAAAUGAUGGAAAAGUUUUCUUAUGAAUCUCUUGUAGGUUAGUUACAACCCCACAAUAUGUUUAAUACCAACACUCCACUAACUCUCUACUUUCUCUUUCACUUAAAAUUUCCUUUGACAUGCCCACACAUGCAUGCAAUUCCCCAUCAAAUGAUGUUCAACAAACCUUGGAUACCUUUUCCUCAAUCAUUCUCCAUUAACCUACUCCUAAACACAUAUCUUAUUCACAUAAGUGGAGCUAAUUAGUGCUUUUUUCUGACGUCAUCUAAUUCGCCUUUUUCUUCGGGUCAUCUGGUGGUUCUGAUAAUUGGUUCGCAGGUCGCGAUCGAAAUCCGGCGACGACCGACUCCUGCGAUUCGCGUCUCUUUCGAUUCCUCUCCUGCGCGAUCGAUCGAUCGAUCGAUCGAUCGAUCGAUCGAUCGAUCGAUCGAUCGAUGAAUCUAUUGAAGGAGAGAGAGACAAAAUAAGACAGGUCAGAUUAGCCUCUAAUCAACUCCAAAGGUCAUGAUCCCCACCAACUAAAGAUUCUAGGGCAAAUUAAACUAUGUAGCCUUUUCUCAACUCUUCUUUUUUUUUUUUUCCUUUUUUUUAAGCUUUUCCUUUUUAAAAAAAAUGCUUCAUGCACAUGCUUUCACUUUGGUUUGCAUUAUUCUAUAGUAGAAUUUGGGAAAAUAGGGCUACUCCUCACAUGUAUCUAAGACCAUAUUUAUUAAAUAAGUUAAUUGAAUAUUAAAUAGCUCAACUCAAGUGGUAAUUUUUUUUUUAAUAAAAUCAAUGGGUUAUUAUUAAAGCUAUAGGGAUUAUUUCAAUAAAAGACAUGUCAAAAUUAGUUGGUGAGAUGAAACACAUUUUAGAAAUAUUUAGCAAAAAAAGAAAUAUUAAAAAAAAAUUCUAAUGGGAUUUGUAGCUUGUUUUGUCCUGCUUCUCAUUAAAGUGUGUCAAAUUACUAAUUAUAUGUUAUUAUCUUUAAGAAUUGACUAAUCAUCUAAACUUUAAAGUACACUAUGAAAGUACAUAUAAUAUUACUGACAAUAAUAAAAGAGUUACUUCAGGUCAAAGAUUCGAUCCUUUGUGUAGACAUUUUCGAGAACAAAGUUCAAAUAGAAAUAAUAAUAUCUAACAAAAGAUUUUCGUGUUGUUCAAAUAUGAGAACAAAUUUUUAGAUCGGUGAAACUUAAAUGCAGGUCGAACUCAAGUGCAGUGAAGUUUAAGCUUUUCCGAAGUCAACUUUUUGUUAGUUGUAUGUUUUAAUCAGAGUUAUUUGUUUUACUGAAAACUUAGAGAGUGUUUGGUUCUCCGUAAAACCGUGAAAAAUGAUUUAAUCAACUAAUUGCUGCUGUGAAAAUGAUGCGAUAUUUUAAUUAUUUUCUCGUCAUCAAUUAGGAUAUUACUAUAUCACUUCCACAUUAAAGAUAUGUUAAUAUUUAGUCAACUACAUCGACUGUCUCUAGAGCAAGUGACAAAGGAUUUGGUGGUUGGUACCGGAGAUUUAAAUUCGAAUCCUAAUUGAUUCACAUUUCUAGCUAAGUUUAUUUCUAAAUGAAACAAACGAAGCAGGUAGCGUGCUACCUAUCCCUCUAAAAAAAAAAAAAGAAAAAAGAUACAGGAGGCAGUGGAAAAUAUUAUCACUAUACCGACAAACAUGUUGGGGAUUUAUUAAAUUUUCACUUGAAANCAACGUGGUAGUUAGGUCAGGAGGCAAAUUGAUAGGGGUGACGGAGCUUUUAGUAUAGUUAAUCUUGAGGCCCGAGAAGCUAGAGAACGCAUCGAGGAUGAUCUUGAUAGUCGCAACCGACCUGGAGGAGCCAUCGAGAAAUAAAACAAUAUCAUCAGCGAAUUGCAAAGUGUGUAAUCUGACCUCUCUAAUUCCGACAUCCGGUAGCAGCUGGGACGCGGUUGCACGGUGGAUCAUUUUGAAAAGUACGUCGACACAAAGAAUGAAAAGGAGAGGAGAUAGCGGAUCCCCUUGGCGCAGGCCACGUUUGCAGCUGAAAGCCUUCCCCGGAACGCCAUUUAAGAGCACCGAAGAGGAGGUAGAUGUGAGAAUAGAAUGUAUCCAAGAAAUCCAUUGUUGAGAAAACCCUCUCGCUCGGAGAACUUCGAGUAAGAAUCCCCAGUUAAUGUGAUCAAAAGCUCGUUCAAAAUCGAUCUUCACAAUGGCUGCUCUUUGCUUAGUGUAGUAAAGGUGGUGAGUGAGGAUGUGGGCGCAUUUGAAAUUGUCGAGAAUAUGGCGACCCUUAAUAAAGGCAGUCUGGUGGGGAUUUAUCAGAAGUUCCAAAAAAGGUUGCAGUCUAGAAGCUAAGACCUUGGAAAUGAUUUUCGCCAUGCUGUGCACAAGGCUAAUAGGUCGAAAAUCAUGCGCCAUUAAAGCCUCUUUCCUCUUAGGGAUAAGGCAAAUCCAAUUGUUGUUUAUCUGUUGCAGGUUGACUGUACCAUUAUGGAAGCUAUUAAAAACUGCAAGAAUGUCAUCCUUCAGGAGGUUCCAAAAUCUUUGAUAGAACACCAUCGGUAGUCCAUCCGGGCCUGGGGCCUUUUCCGGGGCACUAGAAAAAAUAGCUCUUUUAACCUCCUGCACCGAAAAGGGUUCAUGAAGGCUUGAAAGGUCGCAGUGAUCAUCUCCAUAGAUCGUCUGUAGGUUAAUAUAGUUGUUCGUCACUUGUUCUACUCCUAGCUGGUUGAAGAAAAAGGAGAACAAGUGUUGUGCAAUGGGCUCGUGCGCGGAGAAAGUAGACGAGCCAUUAGAGAGUCGAGCAAUAAAAUUAGAGUUCCUGCGACAUUUGGCUUUCAGAUGAAAGAAUCUAGUGUUGGCGUCUCCUUCUUUUAGCCACUGAACUCUAGAUCGUUGUUUCCAUCUUAUCUCCAUUUGUAGGCAGAGUUCUUCAUACCUCGUCUUGAGUAGAGAUCUCAAUCUGGAUUCCGGGGAAGAGAGAGUUCUACCUUCUUCAGCCUUAUCAAGCCACUCAAUCCAUUGGAGGCAUCGAGUAGCUUGAUCAUUAAUGGUCGACGAGAGGCCCGCACUCCAAGAUCUAAGAGCAAUUUGGACUGAUUUGAUUUUUAAAAAGAAUUGGGUAACGGAGUCAGUACCUGGCGCAACCGCGCUCCACGCCUUGAUGACUAUGUCCUUGACAGCAGGGUAGCGAAGCCAGAAGCUCUCAAAUCUGAACAGGUUGGCCGAGGGGAGAAAAGUAUAAGCAGAUAAUACCAGAGGCGAGUGGUCGGAGCGGGGGCGUGGGAGAGCCCUCAGGGUGGAGCGAGGGAAAGCCAACAACCACUCAUUCGAAAUGAAUGCGCGAUCCAAGCGUUCUAGAGUCGGGUUGCCUCUACCAUUAGUCCAAGUGAAGGAUUUAUUCAGUAGCGGAAUGUCAAUCAACCCAAGCUCAUUCACGACCUCCCUGAACCUCAGGAUGUCCGUAACAUUCGUGGGGGUUCCGUUCUUAUCGUGUACGGAUAGAAGGAUAUUGAAGUCCCCAAGCACGGUCCACGCUCCGCAGGUACGAGCAGAGAUAGACCGAAGCUCAAGGAAGAAGUUAGCUCUUAAGCUUGUAGUAGUAGGGCCAUAGAUGUUAGAGAUCGUGAAAGUUUUUCCAUCGGUUUUUUUCCUGAGUACGACCGUUAGAGAGUAAAGCCCAAUCCAUACAUCUACACAUUCAAAGAGGGACGGAUUCCAAGCCGUUAGAAGUCCGCCUCUAGUUGCUUGCGCAUCUAGGGUCCGAAAGUCCGUUAGGUGAUAACCACAGAAAGCACGGAAUUUAUCCAAAGUAGUAACAGAUAAUUUAGUUUCCUGAAGGCAGACGACACAACACUUACAAUGCCGAAUAAAGGAUUUCACAACAGUGCACUUGCCAGGGUCAUUGAGGCCCCGCACAUUCCACGUUAAAAAACGAAAAAUUCGGUUCCUGGCCAUGAAGAAAACAGGAAGUACCCCAGGAGAAGGCUGCAACUCAGGCAGCCGACAUCUCAAGCAUCCAACUGUCCAGCACUCAUGCUGGAAGCUACGUUACCCCCAUUAAUAAUGCCGCAAGUAACCUUGAUAAGUUGGAUCUCUCCAGAAGUGAGGGGGUGCGUAUGAACUCGCGUCUGUGGGCACACCUUUUCGUCUGGAUUAGCAUUUGGGACGAAUGGGCAUUGUCCACCGCUUGCCUGCAGCGAAAGCGCCAAGGGGUGCGCCAAGUGAGGUUGAUGGUCCAAGGACGCAGGAGGUUCAGUAGAGGGGUGGGUAGAAGAUUGUGCGACCACGGGGCCGAGAUCCGCUGCUUUAGCCUUCCUACACCUAAGCUCCUGGGCUCGCUGAAGAGCGGAUUUCGAGUUUCCAAAGGAUUUUGCCGCCAGGCGUACGCUUCGUCGCAAGUUGAAAAGCUUCCCGGUGGAGGGUUGGGAUAGGCUCAGAGGCCUGGGAUGCCGGCCGAAGGAAGCGUCUCGGUCCAAAGAGUGUAAUCCAGAGUUCCUAAAAGAAGGACAGUGGUUGCUAAUGUCCAGGCCUGAGGCAGAGAGGUGGGAUGGCAUGGGGGCGGCCCCAAUCGGAAGCCCAGGAAGUUGUCCAAGUAAGCAUGGAGUCAGAUCAGUAGAGAGGCUGGUGGGCUCGGGGGCGGUCUCAAAUGUGGGCCCAGGAAGCGGACCCAAAGAGCUCGGAUUUGAUGGGGGCCCAGGUAGCGGGCUCAAAGGGCUCGGAUCUGGAUCCAGCCUAGGACAGCUCGGCGUGUUGGACCCAGGAAGCGGACCCAAAGAGCUCGGAUUUGAUGGGGGCCCAGGAAGCGGGCUCAAAGGGCUCGGAUCUGGAUCCAGCCUAGGACAGCUCGGCGUGUUGGAAGACGGGUCAGCAAUAGGGUCAGCAAUGGGCCCGGGAAGCGGACCCAAAGAGCUCGGAUUUGAUGGGGGCCCAGGAAGCGGGCUCAAAGGCCUCGGAUCUGGAUCCGGCCUAGGACAUCUCGGCGUGUUGGAAGACGGGUCGGCAAUAGGGUCAGCAAUAGGGUCACGGGAGGUUCCAGUCCCGCAGUCAUGGAGAGUUGUGCCCCCGUCAGAAACCCUGUCAACAUCACUGCACGGAAGAGGGAGAAGGUUGUCCGUCGCUUUUGAAUUUGAAAAAGCCCUCCUGACCGGUUGCCAGACCUUUCGGCGAGCAGUUUGCCGGUCCCGCCGGCGGUGUUCCUGGCGGCGCCGGUCACUCACCCGACGCCGGUCAAAAGGACGAGAACCGUGUUGGGGGCUUCGACUACGAAAGGCCGGCACCGACGUGAAGCCAGUCUGCCGGAUAAAAGUCUCCUGCGCCUCGAGCGAGUCGAGACCCAGAAGCGCGUCAGUGUCCUCACCAAGAAGAAUGGGGUUAGCAUCUUCAAAAGAUUCAAUCUCAAUGGGAACGUGGAACUGUCUGUCUUCCACCAUCAGGUCGAGAGACUCCGGGAUGCACCGAACGUUUUGACAGCGGACCAAUAAUCUGUAGAAGGAGACCUCAGUGUGAUUUGCGCUUAGGUCAUCUACUUCCCAGAGUUCGCCAAACCCACUCACCGCCGCUUUUACGUCCUCCAUAUUCCAGCAGAGAAUUGGCCAAUGAUGUAGCCGAAUCCAAGCCUUGUGGCGGAGGAAGCNAAUGUUCGAGCCAAUAAUCGCAAUCAAUUAAAAUUUGAGAAUCAAAGCAUCUGCAUCCAGUAAUUUGACACCAAAAGUGUAAUUUAAUCUGAUUCUUACGUAACGGGAUGUCAACAAGUUGGAUUUUCAAAUAUCUGAAUCCAAAUCGAGAUUUGACGGAUUUCAAAAAUUCAUAUCCAAAAUUGAAUCUGACUAACAAUCACAAACCGGAACCAAAGUUCGAACCCGAAAAUCUAAACUUAAAACAACAAUUUUUCGUUGCCAUAUUUCAACACACAUUAUAUUAAAAUCAAAAUUUUCAAAAUAUAAAUUUAAACAUAACAUUAAACAUUCAUAUAUAUUAUAUGUUAGGUUGAAUUAUAGAAAAUUCUCUUAUAAAUACCGGUAUUUUUACUUUUUCUCUCAAACUUUUAAAAAUCUAUAUUUUACCCCUCAACAUUUCAAUUUUUUCUCUAUUAGGGUUCAAUCACUAUUCCGUCUACUUCUUAUAAUUUAUAUUAAAAAUAUCCUCCUAAAUGAUGAAAAUAUAUUAAAAAAUUAUUUUUUUAAAAAAAGUAUGAACAAUUUGGUUAUUUUAUCUUCUCUAUUAAAAUUGUAUAUCUCUAAAAAUAUUUUUAAAAUUUUAAAGGAGACGAAAUAUAAAUUUUUGAGAGUCAGAAAAGGUAAAAAUGCAGAUAUUUAUAAAAAAAUUAUGUAAUUUAGUCUAUAUACUAAUAUAAAAUCUAUUCGAAUUUGAAUUAUAUUGGAAUUCAAAUUCAUCAAAUUUUUAUUUUUCAUAUAUCAAUUACUNGUUAUCAAACGUGAUGGGGCUCCGUCCAACGGCCGACUCUCGAGCCACCCAGUUGGGGAAGAAGACUGCCCUAGCCGGAGGCAAGAAAGAAGCCACCUGGAAGUCGGAGCUAGUCCCCCCAAACCUGGCUGCAAGCCCACGGGCCAGGAUCUCAUUAAUGUUCUCAGGGUGCGAGGCCGGGACUACGACACGAGCCACGCGAGCUGACAGGGAAGGGAGUCCGACCGGGGUGGGCGUAGAGGGGAGGUAGACAGCCGCAGAAGGUGGGCGGUCACCGGAAGGCCCCGGCUCCGAGGUGUGCAACCUGCCCCGGCUCCGCGGACCCGACUCCAUGCUAGUCAAACGUGAGGUUUGGUGCAUCCUGCAGUGUCGAGCUGGGUGGCCAAAUCUCAUACAAAGAAGGCAGCGGCGCGGUUCCCUACAGCGAGCCGCCACAUGGCCUCUCUCGAAACAUCUGAAGCAGCGUCCCCUUAGAGAGGGAUUAAGGAGAAAUUUGGGAGGGUGGGGUGGUAGGGAAGGGUGAGAGAUAAAGGCCGGGGGGCAGAAGGUAGCUUUACGAGGUUGGUGGGUCCCAGCUGGAGAUGGGGACAAAAUGGCAUCCCUGUAGGAGAAAUUAGGCCGGACACGAGCACGUGCUGGGUCAACGGUCGGAAGAGGAGGUAUGGGUCUGGGUUGGAAAGGAUGAGAUGCGGUAGGCAGAUUACUGUUAGAGUGGCGAGGAGGGAGUUUAGGGACGGGAUGGCGGGGGGGAGCNAUUUUAUAUCAUACUGAUAAAUUGCUAAUACAUUGAUGAAAAAAUUAAUAAAAAUGUACAGAACUUACAUAAAUUAUCGACUAUUUUGAUUUGGCUAUCGAAUAUUUUAAAAUUUUGCAAUUUAUUUGAUCUGAAUAAGUUGAAAGUAUUUUGAUUUUAACAUUUAAAUAUAUUAUUAUUUAGGUCUACAUAUUUAAUUAAUAUAUUUUAUGUAAUUCUCACAAAUAUAAAUUUAUAAAAGUAAGAAAUUAGUUUAAAUUUUAAAGAGAAAGUGCUGUCGACUGACUAAAAUCAAACAAACUGAAAGAUUGAAUACUAAAAUCAGAAAUUUAAAAGAUUGAAUAAAUUCAGAUAAAUUUAGUAAAUUUUUUCCAAAUAAAUAUACAUAGGAGUAAAUAAUUGUAUGAAUAAUUAUUUUUUCUUUUCAUUUUUUUAAUGUUUAUGAAAUUUAAAUCUCUGCACUUUGAAUCAGCAAUUAUUUUCGAUUCGAUUAUUUAAUCAAAUCUCUAAAAUAUUAAUAAAUUUGAAUUGUACACUCAUUACUAACAUAGAAAAAAAAAAUCAUAAAAAAUAUAUCCUUUUUAUUAUUUUCUAAUCAUUAAAAACUCAUGUUCCUUACAAAUCCAAUGCACCAUGCACAAUGGCAUUUCCGUAAUUUUCUCCAAAUCCAAGCCCAAUAACCGAAACCAAUACGUAAAAGUGUAUGGAGAUCCCUCAACUAUCGACAAUUUUAAAAUCGAGUCCUCAAUUAUUUUCCUUUUCCCUUUGAUAGAGUUAUAAUGUUUAAGUUACAUUAAUAUUUAGUUACAAAUAAUAAUUUUAAUUGUUAAAACUAUAAACUCUCCUCAAUAAUAAUUUUAACUCAUUAAAUCAAAAUUUUUAUUAAAUUAAUUGGUGAAUUCAUCCAAUUUAAUCACCUUAAUAAAGUUAUUAAUUUUAAUAAAAAAAUUUUUUUUUAAGAAAAAGAAGUUAACCGAGUCACGAUGAAGAUUAAAAUAGUUAAGGAGGCUAUUUCGAAAUAGCAUAUAGUUGAGGGGUCUUCAAGACAUUUUUACCUUAAAAAUGGAAGUUUAGGGGCCGCUCUUUUACAAUCUACUAUAGUUGAGGGGGCUCAUGUAGUUUUACCAACACUAUAACGCUGCUGUUUUUUUUUUUUUUUUUUUUUUUUUUUUGCCCUCUUCGCUUCUUAUCCGCAAGUGUCGGAUAAGGACACGUGGGCGACGAUAACCGGUCGAAAGGAGCAACGAUCCAACGGUCCGUGUUUCUUCGAUAGAACCGCCCAAACGAAACGGACCGUUGGAUCUCCGAACCGGGGUUAAAAAUGGUCCUAACCCUGGUUUAGUAGAAGCGUUGAAGAGAGAGAGAGGGGAGGAUAGAGAGAGAGAGAGAGAGAGAGAGAGAAAGGUGCUCCAUUUCCUCUUCCUCUUCCUCUUCCUCUUCGAUCUCUCGAUUUGUCUACUUUAAUCGCUAUUUUUUUUGUUGUAAUGUAAUUUUUGUUGUUGUUGUUGUUGUUGUUGUGGUUGUGAUGUAGUUGAUCUUUUCUUUUUUCCCGAUUUUUUCCGGAUUUUUCCGAUGUGAUUUGGGGGUUUCGCCCCCCAAAAUGUGUUCUUCUACUCGUUAGAUCUCGUUUUCGAUGGAUUUGAGUGCGAUUUCGAGUAGAUCUGGAGCGGGUGAGGUGGAUCUGCGGUAGUGUUUUGGGGGGCGGGGGGAUCUGGGCUAGAUCGGAGCCCCUAAUCCUAACCCUAACCCUAACCCUAACCCUAGCCCUAGAUUUUUGGAUCUGAGCAUGAUGACCUACUUCCCGGAGGAGGUGGUGGAGCACAUCUUCGGGUUCCUCACGGCGCACUGCGACCGCAACGCGGCGUCGCUGGUGUGCAGGGCGUGGUACCACGUGGAGCGGAUGAGCCGCCGCCGCGUCUUCGUCGGGAACUGCUACGCCGUGCGCCCCGAGCGCGUCGCCGCGCGGUUCCCCGCCGUGCGGUCGCUCACCGUCAAGGGGAAGCCCCACUUCGCCGAUUUCAACCUCGUCCCCCCCGACUGGGGCGGCCUCGCUGCGCCCUGGAUCGAGGCCNCCGCGGCGGCUGCGGCGGCGGCGCCCCCCUCGAGGAGCUCCGGAUGAAGCGGAUGGUGGUCUCCGACGAGUGCCUCGAGACCCUCGCCCGGUCGUUCCCGAAUUUUAGAGCCCUCGUGCUCAUCAGCUGCGAGGGGUUCAGCACCCACGGCCUCGCCGCCGUCGCCACCCAUUGCAGGUGAAAUGCAUGCCCCUCUCUUAGAUCCUAUUUAUUGGUUCUUGUUCUAAAACUUGCCUUGCCAGUUUAGGAAUGCUCAUGUGCCAAAGUUGAGUGCGGAUCGCUUGAUUCCAUUUUUAGCAUCUGCUAACUGUUCAGGAUCUGUUCUUAUCUGCUAUGAUUUGCCCAUUUGUUCUGUUCAUGUAUGUGUUGAUGCAACUCAAAAGUUAACAUUUUGCGCCAAGGAAUUAGGGAUUCUUCGUUGCUCUAUCUGCAUCCAACUUGAUUUUUUUUUUUUCUUCAAAUUACGAAGAUUCUUAUACGAAGUACAAACUUCAAAUUGGAGCAUUUUCUUUUCAUCGAAAGAAUCUCUUUUUAGCUUCUAUCUGGGACUAAAAGCUCGAGAUUUAUUGUUUUCCAAGACACUUGGCUUCUGCUUCUUGACUAGAAGAGCCAGGCUAAAAAAGAACUUACUUCAAUAUCUUCAAUUAGUGUGUGUGUGUGUGUGUGUGUGUGUGUGUAUUUACUUUUAACUUGAUUUCGUUUGCUGAGAAACCUUUUCUUCUCUCUCUGUUUCCUUCUUUGAAGGCAUCUGAGGGAGAUAGACUUACAGGAAAAUGAGAUAGAGGACCGUGGGCCGCAGUGGCUGAGCUGCUUUCCCGAGUCAUGCACUUCUCUCGUGUCCCUAAACUUUGCCUGCCUAAAAGGGGAGAUUAAUGUUGCCGCACUAGAGAGGCUUGUUUCCCGUUGUCCUAACCUUCGCAGCUUGCGGCUUAAUCGGGCAGUCUCCGUGGAAGCACUUUCGCGAAUCCUUAUGAAAGCUCCUCAGUUGGUGGAUUUGGGGACUGGUUCAUUCUGGGUUGAUCAUCGGUCGGAAGCUUUUCAUAGGUUGAUUAGUGCUAUCGAAAGAUGCAAAUCUCUGAGGAGUUUAUCUGGUUUCUGGGAUGCUUCUCCUCUGUGCCUCCCUGCAAUUUAUCCUAUCUGCUCAAAUUUGACCGGUCUUAAUCUCAGCUAUGCUCCAGCGAUUCAGGGUUCCGAUCUUAUCAAACUUAUUCGCCAUUGUUGGAAGCUUCAACGCCUUUGGGUAAGAUCUUCAUCUCAUUUCACGUGAUUUAUUUCUAUUUGCAUAUUUGGCAUUGUUUCCGUUUUUUUAUUGUUUCUGUUUUUCUGCAAGUUCUAUAUAGUUAAUGGCAUCUAGAUAUGGGCUUAUUAUCAAAUAAAACACAAAAAUAUGGCAUAGACCAACAAUUCGACCAUAGCGUAAAAUUGAAGAAAAUUGUUCAUAAAUGCCAUAACCUGUAGAGCUCGAGGAAGGAAAAAAAGAUCGAAAAAAAAAAACAAUGACUAGAGAGAAUUAUCUUCUGCUAAAUGAGAACAAAAUGAUAGUUAUAACUGUUCGAACUUUAUGGUUUCAGGUACUAGAUUGCAUUGGCGAUAAGGGAUUAGCGAUUGUAGCCUCCACCUGCAAGGAAUUACAAGAAUUGAGGGUAUUCCCAUCAGAUAUAUAUGGUGCGGGAAGUGCUACUGUGACCGAAGAAGGGCUUGUAGCUGUGUCUUUCGGCUGCCCUAAGCUCCAUUCCUUGCUUUACUUUUGCCACCAGAUGACUAAUGCCGCGCUCAUAACCGUCGCAAAUAACUGCCCUAAUUUCACCCGCUUCAGGUUAUGCAUUCUCGAACCGAAAAAAGCCGAUCCUCUAACAAAUCAGCCAUUAGAUGAAGGUUUCGGGGCGAUCGUACGGUCAUCCAAGGGUCUGAGGCGGCUUUCUCUAUCUGGGCUUUUAACCGAUCAAGUUUUCAUGUAUAUCGGGAUGUAUGCGAAAAAGCUCGAGAUGCUUUCUAUAGCAUUUGCUGGGGACAGUGAUAAAGGAAUGCUAUACGUUCUUAACGGGUGCAAGAACCUAAGGAAACUUGAAAUAAGGGACUGCCCGUUUGGAGAUGGUGCAUUGUUAGAAAAUGUUGCAAAGUAUGAAACAAUGCGAUCCCUUUGGAUGUCGUCCUGCGACGUAACUCUAGGGGGUUGCAGGGCGCUCGCAGCAAAAAUGCCGAUGCUCAAUGUGGAGGUGAUAAAUGAAAGGGACGAAAGCGAAGAGUCGGAGGAAAGCCCCAGCGAUUUCCACAAGGUGGAGAAGAUGUAUGUUUAUCGGACUAUCGCCGGACCGAGGGACGACGCCCCCGAUUUUGUGUGGAUACUAUAGAGCUCUUCUCCCGCGAUAGGUGCGGCUAUGCUUGAAAUCUACAAGGUAAAAAAAUUUAAUUUGAGCUUUGCAAUGCUUUAUUUAUUCAUCGAUGGUAGCGGCACUAUCUUAAUUAGGUUUGUUUGUAGAUUGGAAUUAGGGAGAAUCGAAUCAUAGACCCAAAUUUGUAGCCUUUUCUCUUGAUGUAAUUCUUCCAGAGAUUUGUGUUUGCAGUGCUAGUUUGAGUAAUAUUGUUAAUAUAGCUUUUUAAUGGCUUAUAUUGCUUUAAAUCUUUCAUAUUUUGAAGUAAAAAACACUCUUAAUCUUCUGGGACCAAAAUUUGAACAAUCAAAUGGAAAAAUCUAGAAGCACUUUUCCCUUCUGUGUUGACUCUUACAUCUAAGAAACUUUUGCUUCUUAUUUGCCAUUACAUUAGCAAUUGCUUUGCAUACAUUGCAGCCUUAUUGUGAGAAUAUUCCUUUUAUGCUGGCCCUUUACCUGACUUGCUGUGUAGCACUCAUUACUUGUGCAAGAAAAAGAGAGUGAAGGUGUUGCAGUGGUAAACUCUUAGGUAAAAUUUCAAAGAGCCCCCCCAUGUUAUGGCGCAUUUGUCGUAAUUCUAUUAUCCUGUGAUUCAAAGUGCGUCACUUUGUACGUAUGGGUUUUCCCUGUGUUUUGGUUCCUCAAAAAAGUAUGGAAAAUAAUUGUAGAUGAAAAACACUCUUUUCCACUGGUUUUGUUUUUCGGAUAGAAAACUCAGAAAACUUAAAAUAGAGAAAAAUUGCUUUUCCUAGGAACCAAUUUGAUGAAAAAUAGUUUAUUUUUUGGGGAACCAAACAACACCCCUCAGUCUCUAUAAUCAUGAGGUAAAAUGGGCUGCUAAUUACAUGAUAGUAAAAGUGCUAUUUUUUAGUAUUUGGUAGCUUGCAAAAUAUAACAUUUUGCUAUAUAUUUUUAUCCAAGAUUGUUGCAAAGAGCCAAAACAAAAGCAGCAUAGGAAAUAAACUGCAGUGCUUGGGAACCUUUUAGAUGUGCUGUAAGAAGAGAGGGGGUUUUCUGAAAUUCUGCCUAAAAAAUCUAUCAGAUGGGAAUCUCUCUUUCCUUUUUGUACAGUCCAAAGCUAUAGAUAUCUGUGACCUCUAUUGAAGCAUCAUCUGAGAUCAUCAUUUCCACCAUUAUCCUCUUUUGUGUUUGGUCACACCUCAACUUAUCACCCUUUAUUUUUUUCUCUCUUUUUUUUUCCCCUUCUUUUUAACUCUUUGCUACCUGUGUGAUUCUCAGUGGGUGAACCAGCUUUUCCUAUCUUGUCUUCAUAUGCUUUUUGACCUUUCUACUGUGGAGGUUGCUGAUACUGUUGAGAUAAGCACCUGGCCUAAAUUUCUUUUAAUUUAACCCACUACUCCCGAACUUUUACUCUUUUAAGUUUAUUUUUAGGGCAAACUGCAAAUACCAUCCUUAUGGUUUCGCAUUUUUUUACUUUAGUAUUUUGUAUUUUAAAGUGUAUUAAUUUAGUAUCCUAUGAUCUUAUCAGAUAAUGAUGCCGACUUUUAACAAUUAUUUUAUUUUAUUUUAUUUUAUUUUAGUCCUUACCUCAGAGCGAUAAUUGUUUACAAAGUUUGCUGCAUCUAGUUUAUUGAGUUCGGCUGGGAUACUAGCGAUAGCACCAAGCGUUUGGUGCUAUCGAGUUUUCUACCGUUGGAUUUUACCCUUUGACUAUUUUUACUCGUUAGAUUAUACUAUUAAAUCAAUAACUUACUCAACCCUAGGGACCCACGUACAUUUUUUUCAUCCAAUGGCCGAAAACCUAAUAACACCAAUUGCUUUGUGUUAUUAAUAGUAUUUCAGCCUAGUUCCUAGUUUAUUCGUAUGGCCUUACACUAUAAAUACUUUGGUCCUUUAUUUGUAUGUAUCAUAUUAUUAAAUUACUGAUCUAAUUAUUAAAUAGAGAAAAUAAUAUUCCUCUAAUGUCGAACCUAAAAGCAUGGAAACAAGAGUGAACAAAAAGCGCGAAAUGUUUUGUUCUGAAAAGACACUUCUCAGCUGGUUGAGUAGAGAAGUUACUUUAAAAGCUGAAGCUACACAGUUCGUAAACGAAGGAACGUUUUGGUAGCAAUUCAAUGUAAAUGGCCAUAGCAAAAUGAAGGUACUCAACUCAUUCCAAUUAUAUCUUGGUUUGUUGGCAAUAUUCUAUUUGAUUUAGUAUUUUAUUCAUUACAAGUUAAGAACAAAAUAUCUAGUUAUAUAAAAAGAAACUUAGCUCAUUUAACCCUACUUGAAGCAAGCCUAAAACAGUAGGGAAGUGUGAACCUGUUUUUACAAUUACGAAGAUCCGUAGUUCGAUAUUCUAAGGGCAUGUUUGGAUGGUCGAAGUCGUGAGAGUAAGGAACUUAUGAGUUCGAGCAGUGCUCGAACCUCGAUAUCAGGCGUUGGAGAGACAAAGUCGCGAGCUCUUAUCGUACUUGAGUGUUGGAUCGUUGGCGCUGAUCAUUAAUCUCAAAAACUCGAGCUGUUAGAAAUACGCAACCAAUUCACUUAAAACAUACAGAUACAGUGCCCACGGAUUUCGAUGUGACUCAGUCCAAUCAAUUUCACACUACUUCGAAUAUGAUUCGACCCAACCAGCCUCACGCCACUUCGAACAUGACUCGGCUCGACAUGACCUCCCGUCACAUAGCAGGAUGCUGGCCCAUUUAAGCCAACAUUGAGUAGCAGAGUUGUUGGCGAAGUUCAGCAGUUGAGAUCGGUGCAACCAAACACGCCCUAAACUUCUAGUAACUUGGGCACAUAUUGUUGCCAAUAAAACACCAAAUUAUAAUUAUUAUAUAGUCUACCAAAAUGGGAUAUCUUAAUGGGCCUCUUUAGGCCCUCUUAAGAAAAACCCUGGCUAUGAUUUGAACAACUAUGGCCCAAUUGUAAUUCUACUUCAUUGGUCAUUACCCAAGUUUGCAAAUUAUUAUUUUGUUUUUCUAUAAUUUUAGUUUUAUUUUAUCUUAAGAAUCUAUUAUUGUUAAAUAGGAUAGGAAAAGGGCAUGUUUUAUAAACUACAGAAUAGUAAAAUACAUGCAAUCAACAAGAGUUACAAAAUAUUUUUGAAGUUUUGAAGGGCAUAUUAGAUAUUAUUUCAAAAAUUUAUACACUUUUCAACUGCAUGCAGUUAAAUAAAUAAUUUAUAGUUGCAUCACAUUUUAUUAUAUCUAAUCAAACAAGAUAUAUAUAUAACUAUAUGUACUUUUAAUUUAGAAAAAAUUUCAAAUACCACCCAUGUAUUUUCACACUUAUUCACUUUAGUAUCCUGUGGUUUUAUUUUUUUUUUUUGUUAUCCCCUCUACUAAUUUUUUUCGUUAAAUCAGUGACAAAGUUAAAACUAAAGAGUACUAAAGUAAAUAUUCGAUAAACUAUAGUUGGGUAUCUGAAGUUUUUUGUAUAUGAUUUAAUGAAAAAUAACGGAAGGGCCGACAAAAAGAGAAAAAUGAAAUCACAAAUACUAAAUUAAUACACUUUAAAUCACAGGAUAUUAAAGUGAGAAAAUGCGAAACUAUAAGGAUGGUAUUUGAAGUUUACCCUUUAAUUUAUGUGUAUUUUAUUUUUUUCAUUUACAUUUAACCAUAUGGAUUAUGAAAAAAUGUGCUUUAGUUUGACCGAACAUUCUCCAAAGUUCUAGAAGGUCUAGAAGUUAUUCUUCUCCGUUUUCAACGAAACUUAGUCCUCAUAUACGGCCCAUAAACCUACGCACUUUCCUUGCAUUUUAAAUUAGGGUUAAUUACCUAUAGGUCCCUACAAAUAUAAUAAAUUAUAAAUAUUUUCUUAUAAAGUUCAACUUUUAUAUAUUGUCCCUACAAAAGUUCUAAUAUCUUCAAAUUUGUCCCUGCCGUUAGAAACCGUUAGAAAAAUUUAGUUAAUCAUAAAUUAAAUACUUAAGUCUGGUUAGUUUGUGAGAGAACUUUACAUUUUUAUCCCUCUUAUAUUAUACUAUUGUUGUUUUUGGAAGGACAUAUUUGUGAUGACAAAAUUGAUAUUUUGCUUAUUUACUGUUAAAAUAUAAACAAUUCUCUAACAGUCAUAAAACAGAGGAAUAUAUUUAAAAAUAUUAAAACUUUUGUAGAAAUAAUUUAUAAAAAUUGAACUUUGUAGAAAUAUUCUUGUAAUUCACUAUGUUUGUAGGAAUUUGUACGUAUUUAACCCUUUAAAUUAAGAUAAAAUUGUGUAGAGACCCCUAGACAACUUUGUUAUUCUUAGCAAUGAUUUAAAAAUCGGAUCACAAUUCAACUGGUCCGAUUAGGACCUAAUUUGUAAAGCAGUUCGGUUCGACUAUUUACACUGAAUGAAAAAUCGUUUUGAACCAUUUGAAUCGGCGACUCAACUAUCGAAUCAAUGAGCCGAUCAAACUUUAAUCAUGCUUAUUGAGCUUUUUUGAUCAAGUAAUAUUAAACUAAUGGUUUAAAAUCAACUUAGCUGAUUUUAUUUUCUUUAAGUGGGGAUAGAUUGGGCUCAUAAAAAGUAAAAGAUGAAAACUUAUAUCUAUUUAAUUUGGUCUAAAAUCAGUAUUUUGUAAUUAAAUAUAAUAUUAAAAUAAUAUAUAUAUAAUAAAUUAAAAAUAAGAAUUAAAUAUUUAUGACGUUUUGCUAUGUUCAACCAAUAUUUUCGUGUUCUGUUCCACCCGAGUUUUAAAGCAUAGAUUUUUCAGUUGAUUCUUUUGCAAUUUUCAAUUUUUUUAAUUGUCAAAUUUAAAAAUUAUAUCGAAUCGAAUCGAAUCGGUUUAUAUAAUUUCAGUUCAGUUUAAAAAAUUAUAUGGAAUCGAAUUAAAUUGGUUUGGUUUGGACCGGUUCCGAGAAUAAAUUGAUUUGGUUUGGUUCUGAUUUUUUUUUCUUUUUUUUAAGAGCGAUAAAGUUAAUAAACUCUCUACUUCAAUCAUUUUUUAGAACAACACUUCUAAAAAUGUGAAGUAAUUAAUUUUCGAACUUAGGGCCACUAUAAAUUUAAGAUGGAUUUGAAUUUUUUCAAGCGGAAAAAUUGGCAUUUGCUUUAAACUUUUUCAAAAAUCGAGCCAAAUCGAGCCAAGUAUACCCCUCCACGAAGCACCAAUAUUAUAUUAACUCUAAGCCGGGGAAACGAGCUCCAAAUUAAUGAGUGAGUUUAUUAAACUUAUUAGUUCUAAUUACUUGUUAAGGAAAAAAAAAAUAGAAUAUUUUUAACUUAGCUAAAUAAAAUUAUUUGAAUUAAAAAAAAUCAAAAAGUAAUUAAGGUUGAGGGACGUUCUACAAAGUAUUCUAUAGUUGAGGGGUCUCCAUACAUUUUGUAGCAUCUCUCUUCUAAUAUACAGGUGUAUUAUAUAAAUACACAUGUUCCCAGUGAGAAAGCGAACGAUACUCCUCUCUCUCUCUCUCUCUCUCUCUCUCUCUCUCUCUUUGCGAUACAUAUUCAACAAUGGCGACGACGAAGGAGGGUGCGGAGAAGGGGGAGGAGCCGGCGCUGGGAAUCCCCUAUCCCUACUCCUCCGGCGCAGCUCCGGCGCAGGCGGGGGCGGCGGUGGCGGCGCCGGCGCCGGCGCCGGGGCACUACUACUACGUCGGGGAGAACCCGUACCAGGCGGGGAUGAUCCCCCCCAACGCGGUGGUGGGCGACCCCAAGGGGAUCCCGCUGCGCCAGACGAUGUUCGGCGACACCCCCGCCCCACUCCAGUGCCCCCUCUGCGGCGCCUCCGGCCUCUCCACCGUCAGGUACUCCGGAUCCGCUAGGAUUUUUUGUCCUUUUUUAUUUGGUUUUAAGCCGAAUCGAGUUGUGAAGUUGAUCUUGAAGAAUCGGUGAUGAAUUGGUUGGAAUAGGUCGAUGCAUCGAUUUUGAGCUCCGAUGAUCACUGGGAUUCGGGUCGGUGGUAGAUCGGUUAGGUAUUUUGUUUGCUUUCGAUUGAAUCAAGUUGUUUUUGAAAUGAUCUGACGAGUUUGAUCGUAGGAGCGGAUGAAGAGUCGGUCGAAUUGUUUUGAAAUGGUUUCGAUCGAAGUAGAUUUUGAUGAAUCCGCUAGGGUUCGGUGUUACAGUAUUAGUUUUCGACCGGAUCGAGUUGUUUUCGAAUGAGAUUUUAAAAUCGAUUUUGUAGAAUCCAUGGAAAUCGGUUGAUCCGCCCUCUUCACAACUCCUCAUGAUCGUCGUUGUUGGUUUUGAGCUCCGAUGAUCGGCUAGGGUUUUGCUUUAGCUUUGAUCGGAUGCGAUUGAAGUUGAUCUCACAGAAUCGGUAGAUCCGGGUUUUCCGCAACCAUUAAUUUGUUAUGUUCAUCGUUGGUUUUGAGCUCCGACAAUCGCUAGGGUUUUGAUCGAAUCGGUGGUCGAUCAGUAAAGGGUUUGGUUUGCUUUUGAUCGGAUAUAGUUGUUCGAGAGCGAUCUUAGUAUCGAUUAUACAUCAUUUCUACUCUGAUUGUCCUUAUAACUUCCCGUCCAGUUGGUUUGGAUCAUACUCGGAUGUCGAAAGAAGCUAUCAAAUAAUAACUUAUUCGGUAUUAAAAGAAUUUCUUUUAGUGAUUAAAAGUAAAUAGUUUGAUGUAUCUUUCUUUUAGUGAUUAAAAGUAAAUAGUUUGAUGUAUCUUUGAUUUGGUAGAAUCGCAUAUUUCAUAUGAUUUAUUUUAUUGAAGGUUGAAUGUCAAAUAAUAUACGCUUUUUGAGUAAAUAAAAGAAAUACGCCGAGCAAGAUUUUCUUGCAUCUAAACAUUAAAACAUGACUUUAAUAAAUUGUUACAAGUUUAUCUCAAGUGAUUUUAUAAUAAACAAAAGGAGGAAUCAUAGCAACUUUUUGGUGAUUUUACCGCGCGAAAAUCUUAUCCUUUUGUCGUUUGUAACGAGCGCAAUGUAAUGCAUUCUAUUUUUCGCCAAUCAGGUUUUUCCGUUCGCAUGGUUGUCGAGGAAAGUGGAAAAUGUUUUGUGAAAGGAAUUACCGAUGACGAUGAUAACAUGUUUCUUUCAUUCCUACUCUCUUUAACCUACUCUGUUUGAUGCUUUUGUUUUAUAACUAGUGAAAUAUGAUCGAAACUAGACCAGUUGUUCCACCGAUGAUUCUCUGGAACUUAUCCUCUCUCUCUCUCUCUCUCGAUCUCUCAAUGUUUGUUUAUGAAGCAAUUAGAUGAUAAUAGAUGAUCUCUCGAUGUUUGUUUAUGAAGCAAUUAGAUGAUAAUAGAUGUAGUAUAGAUGACAUUGUGAGUUGAACUUGUGAGCAGGUCGAAGCCGAGUUUGGCGGCUGUGGUAGCAUGCAUGAUGCCGUUUAUGCUGGGAGUGUGCUUCCUCUGCCCCUCAAUGGACUGCCUCUGGCACAAAUACCAUUACUGCCCUAGCUGCGGCGAAAAGGUAUUAGUGUCUCAUUUUCACAUCGGAGUCCUGUGGUUUUUUUUUCGCACCGCUUGGGUGUCCCGAGAUUGCGGUCGUAAUUUCCGCAAGUGCCUUUCAGCUAUAGCUCUGCUAGAAUUAGGCGGUGUUUGGCCUAGCUAUUCAAAAGUGAUUCUGAGCCCAAAAUCACUUUUGAGCUCAGUAGAGUGUUUGGGAAUGACAUUCUGAAAAUCUAAUUCUGAGAAAACUGAUUUUGAAGGCUCCAGAAUUAGAAGCAUAAAAAAGCUGCUUCUCCAAAACUUAUUCUGAUUUUGAACUCAAACUUCUGAUUUUUAUUUUUAUUUUAGAUUCAAAGUAUAAAUUUAAUAUUAAACUUAAAUUUUAAAAUUCAAAUUUUAAAUUUCAAAUUUCAAAUUUCAAAUUUUAAAUUCAAAAUUUUAAAUUUUAAUUUUACUUUUAAAUUUGAAAUUUCAAAAUUCAAAUUUUCAUUUUCAUUUUCAAUUUUCAAUUUUUCAAUUUUUCAAUUUUUCAUUUUCUUCAAUUUCAUAAUUUUAAUUUCAAAAUUAAAAUUUUGAAUUUUGAAUUUUAAUUUUAAUUUUUAAUUUUUUAUUUGAAAUUUGAAAUUUGAAAUUUUAAAUUUGAAAAUUUAAAUUUAAAUUUUUAAAUUUGAAAUUUUAAAUUUAGAUUUAAAAAUUCAGAUUUUAAAUUUAAAAUUUUGAAAUUUCAAAUUUAUUUUUGUACAAAUUUGAAACUUAAAAAUUAUACUUUUAUUAAAUUGAAAUUUAAAUUUUAAAUUAUUUUAAAAAUAAAGUUUAGUAAAAAUAUUAAUAUAUGCAAACAUUAAAAUUUUUUGGCCAAACAUUUUUAGAAAAUCACUUCAGAAAAAUCACUUUUUUCUAAAUUCAACCAAACACUCUAAGCUUUUCACUAAAAUCAAUUCUCCGAACCAAAAUUACUUUUGCAAAAAUCACUUCUCUAGAAGCUAGGCCAAACUGGCCCUUAGGUUUUGAUUUCAAGAAGCAGGUUUAGCUGCAUUUGAUUUUAGAUCUCGAAAAUUAGAAAGCUGAUUCUAAAACUCAGAAUCAGAAUUUAGAAACAAAAUUGUCAAACGCUUUAUUAAGUCAAAGAUCACUUUUGGAUUCAAAAUCACUUUUGGAGUCCUGUGUUUUUUUUCUUUUCUUUUUUUUUUCUUUCUUUCUUUCUGUAGCACUUGGGUGCCCCGAGAUUGCGAUCCAAAUUUCCCUGCAAGCGCCUUUCUGCAAGCUCUGUUAGAAUCAGGUUCUUUUUGGGUUUUGGUCCAUACUAGCAGGUUUGCAUCAUUCUCGGGCCUGGUUCUGAUCAAUAAACUCAACCGGAAACCCAAAUUGAGAGCCGAGUUCCUACGGGCUUUCGAUCGAGCUUUAAGGUGAAGGCAAGCCCUUAUAGAAAACUAGAAAAUGGCAAUCUCAGGGAACCUAAACGAUACAAAUCUCACAGAAAAAACCAGAAAAUGCAGUCUCAGGGAACCUAAAUGAUACAAAGUGUGUUACACCAUUCUUUUUUCUGAUACUCACCCCUCCUUCCCCUUUUUUUUAAAAAAAAAACAAAAAGAAUCUUUGGAGCUUCUUCCUCUCCUGAUUUUGCAUUGACGUUACCGUUGCUAACUAAACAGGUUGGUGAGUUCAAGAAAUUGGAUCCGUGUCUCGUGGUCGAUCCGACUCGCUGGAACGAGCCGAGCUUUGCGGUGCCUGCAUAGUGCGUAAACUAAACCGUACUCUCUUCAGUUUCCUGUUUUGUUCGCUCGUACUUUGAAUUCUCCUGUAAUGGGGCUUGUAUAUUUUGGUUCUCAGCGUACACAUGACCUGCAACGAUAUUGUUAACAGUGUAUUUCAUGUAUAUUUUUCGGAAUCUUGUAGCCUGUGAAAAACACGUGCACGCACAGAGACGAAGCAAAAUACGAUGUUCCGUACACAUUCUCAAAUAAAUUCACAAAAACAAAACAAGAAUAUUCUUAAGAAACGUUAAAGAAAAAAAAGGAAUGCGACUAUUUUAACUAUCGUUGUCUCGUCUAAAUAAGAGCUUAUUUGUAUCGAAAACACCUUCCAAUUGAUCGGCAAAGCGAAAAUUUUUGGCCUUAUUUGUGCUAAAUAGUUAAGGAAAAGAAAAAAUAUUUUCGGCGUUACUAACACGUAAUUUUCCAAAACUCGUGCCAUGAGAAUUGCUCUGAGACGUGAGGGCGGAGAGGUGAGCGGUUGUGAAAAAGAUACGAUUUAAUUCAUUAACUCUUACCAAUUACAAGCUACUUUGCAUAAUAUUAUAAUUAUUAUAAUGUCCUGCAGCAUAUCUUAUGAGUAUAGAGCCUUUUGUAUCAAAAUCUUUUACCGCUUUGAUCUACCCUUUUUAAUUAUUUCACCCGUGUAAAUAUAACUAUUCACCCACUCAACCCUAGGGGCCCACUAUCAAUUCUAACAAUAACCACUUCAUCCCCAACCGCACAUUUUUCAUCUGAACGGCCAACAAAGUUAUGAGUACAAAGACUCAUACUCAUAUGGGGGGAGUAAAGUAGCCCAGCCAAUAUAUAAUAUAUAUAAGAUAUAUAUAUAUUCUAAUAUAUAUAAUAAGUAUAUAUAUAUAGAUUAUAUAACAGUGUGAAUUGAGCUAGAAAUUUUAGAAGUAUUCAUCCCUUGGUGCUUUAGGUUCUAGCCCUGGAUCUUACCUUGAAUUAUAUAAGUAGUCUUUUGAUCAAAGGCUAUUCCACCUACCAACCACACUACCCACCAAUCAUCGCCAAUUUACAUUCUCCUAUCCAAGGAUUAGAAAACUCUAAAAGGCCUUUAUGAUUGUUGUGUGUGCGUUUUAGAGUAGUUCUGAGCUCAACUACUAUUAAUAUUCCCUCACAAUAGAGUAAGUGCGGACAACUUACAAAAAAAAAAAAAAAAGGUUAAAAACAGUCAUUGGCCCAAGAGGCUCUGAAUCUGUGAGGAGCGUGGCUGGUCCUAUAGCGUGGGGUUCAUUGCGAUCUGUCCCUAGGCUGCGAGUGAUAGCGGAAGUGAGGUUUCUGCCGCGGUCCGAUCCAUCCGAUCCGCCCGAUCCGCAUGGCCGGAUCGCGUUGGUGCUCCUUCUCAAUAUUCAAACUACUUAUCACGACAACACUACUACUGGAGGGGAAAAGAGACCUUGCCAAAAAACCCAAAAAGACAAAGAAGAACUCCAGAAGAGUUCUGAUUCAGCGGUCUCUUCUGCUAAUUCCUCGAUCCGGCCCGGAUCUCGCGACCUGCGCGACCGUGAUCUAGAUAACAGGCGACCAUGUAAGAUGUCCGAAAUGAUGUAACAUGCCGCGCCGCACAAUUCAAUUUCUUCGAGCGGGCCUAUCUGCAAGUAAUGUAUAGUCCGAAGAUAUGGAGAAUGAAACCCACGGCACCAAGAAUGGAUAUGUGUUAUCAAACACUUGGCAUAAAACGGCUGGUACAUAGCACAGGCCACAGCUUAGUUGCUGACGCUUCAAAUAAAAAAAAAAAAAAAAAAAAAUUAAUAUAUUACUGUACAAGGGCAAUUUUGUCUUUAACUAAUGCCUUUGCUCAAACAUAUAUACAUGAUCACAUUAACCUUUGUACUGUAAAUGAGUAACGAGAUGUAUUGAGGAAUCUUCAAACACUUGAGGUGCUUCUACACAUUGGAUCCGCAUCGAUCGGCGAAUCAGAAGAGAUCCAGUGAAUUGUGCAUGUCAACACCGACGAUUACUAUGCAGAUCCUACGGUGAAAAGUCAAAGCACUGUGAAACUUCGUAAAUCUAGCGUUGUAUUAAAAAUGAAAAAUGUUAUAUAUAAUGAUAUAAUAUAUAUAUAUAUAUAUAUAUUAUAUAAUAUAUAAUAUAUAUAUCUAUAUAUGUGUGUGUGUGUGUGUGUGUGUGUGUGUGCGCGCGCGUGCGCGCGCGCGCGCAUUAACCUACUUAAAAUAGUAUAUAGGUGUCGAAAUAUAAAACUUAGGGUAUUACAUCGAACUAUUGAAGAUCAUAAGUGUUAAUCAACUAUUUCAAAAACACAUUCUAAUAUGAAGGACAUAUUCAUCGUAUUUGAGAACUCGACCACAGUGCAUGCUCAUUGGCUUCAACCCGACUCAACCUACCUGAACAUUAACUCUAUUGUCGAAUCUCUUGCUGUUAGAUUUAUUGUUGAUCGCAGCUCCAUCCAACUUAUUAAACUCCUCCAAUUAAUCAACUUAUUAUUCUUCUGAUUCUAUUGUUAUGGGGCAGAAAUUAAGUUAAACCUAUUUUAACUAACAUCAAAAAGCUAACAACUACAGCUUAGUAAAUAUGCAAUAUUAUGGAGAUGAUGAUGAUGAUGAUGAUGCAUCUACAAGAAAACGUUAACUAAUAUUGUGAAGCUUUGACAUGCACCACAUGUCAAAUCUAACUAAAGAAUCAAACACACUCUCAUAGUAUUUUUUUGCCAGCCACUGCAAAUAUAUAGCUUACAUUAUGUGCGUAUCCUAGUAAUUGAUUCAUGUCAAAAAGUGGAAAAGAGUUGAGACAAUAUUGAAAUGCAGAAGAGGCUUUGGUCUAUCAUGAAGGAAAAGAGCCACUCAGAGUAGCCAAGGAGACUGCCUAUGCAACCACACAACAAUCUUUGGAGCAAAACAUGCACGGAUUUAAGCCCACGCGCGUUGCAGACGCUUAAGAAUAGCGUAGGAGAUCGUAGGCAAGUCAUCCUUGGCUAUCGGAGAUAGGCUCUCGUCCUCAUGCGAGGCCCCUCUUCUUAUUUGGCUCUGCAAUUUUCUCUGGUGAUCGACCUCGUUGCGCAUGUAUUUAUAGUAGAGUUAGAGGAUGAGAUCAACCAAAAGGUUCCCACAAUUAUUGACUUUGAAUGGCAACUUGCCUCACCACAAAUGUAUAUUGACCUACAUUAUAUGCUCCUCAUCUCCAAAGAGAAUAUAUUCAUUGGAGUGGCCAAGUGAUAAGAACACAAUGAAAGAGAGAGGGGGGGACAUUCUCUUUGUACUUUAUGCAAAGAUGAUAUAAGGUCUAGAAAUUGUUCUUGGAAAGAAAUUGUACAUGAUAAAGCCUUUUACUGAAAGGGCCUUUGUGUUCUUGGAUUAUUAGGCCAAUAGACCUUUCAAUACUCUCCUUACACAACUUGUUUUUGACCAUGACAUGUUGAGAAAUGAGGAUCAUAUAUAAUUUUACCCAUCCUUGAAUAGNAUUUUUUUUUUUGUUAUUGGGACGGUUACUGUUUUUAAUUUUUAUACUUGGUCGCGUUUGGAUAAAGUUCGAAUUUUAAUCGAGUUCACUAGGUAAUGUGAGGCCCACCUCACACUUUCGGUUAGUAAACCGUUUUUAAUAUCAAGUAUAACGAUCUAGUUCAUUGGCAGUAAUAGUUCAUUCAGAUCCAAAAUAUUUAAACUCAGUUAUUAGUUAUAGUGUAUAUGUUAUAUAUAAGUCUUUCACACUCUCCUACAUUAUUCCAUGCGGGACUAUUUCGAGUGUCACAGUUCGAGUUCUGAUUCACUUUAUCGUUCAUGAAGAGAGUUAUUGUUUUGUUUUGGUGCCUCUUGUGAGCAAUUGAUUAAUCUGAUAUUAGUGAGUUAUUGUUGUUGAAUAGAGUUGUCGCAUACAAAACAAUAAUUUCUCUCUAUUUUGUGGCAACUUUGCUAAUACUUGUUUGUUUUUAUAUAUGGCAUAUAUUGCUCGUAUUGUUUAUUAAGAAUUAUGUUAUUAUACUAUCGAUAGUACUAAGCACUUCGCACUAUCAAGUUUUCGAUCGUUGGAUAAAAGGAUGUACAGUUAGGAUGAUAAUAGUCCUUUAGGGUUGAGUGGGUGGUUGGUUAAAUAGUAUAAAUUAUCGGAUAGAAAUGAUUAGAGGGUAGAUUUAACGGCAGAAAAUUCGAUAGUACCAAAAGCUUGAUACUAUCGAUAGUAUAGUAGCCGGACUUGUUUAGAAUUAUACUACUAUACUAUUGAUAGUACCAAACAUUUUGUACUAUCGAAUUUUCGACUGUUGGAUGAAAGGAUAUACUGUUAGGAUGAUAGUAAUCUCAGAUUAGGAUGAUAGUCAUUCUCUAGGGUUGAGUGGGCGGUUGGUUGAAUAAUAUAAUCUCACGGAUGGAAAUGAUUAAAGGGUAGAACUAACGGCAGAAAAUUCGAUAGUAUCAACAGCUUAAUUAUGUACUUAUUUAUCCCAACUAUGAGAGGAUUACUUUGUACUCAAAUUAAAGAGAGACAUGAUUACUUUGGAAUUUUGAAGAGUAUUCAUUUCAUUGUUGUGGGCUUUUUUUCUUUUUGUUUUCCUAUAUUUUUGGGUGUGUCAUGGAGGUAUAUAUGACAUCCUAUACAAAUGUUGCUUUAAAGUUCGUGCAAAAAAAAUUGAUUUAAGCCCCUCCCUGUAAAGCCUGAGAAAGUUGGGAGUGAAGAUUCUCAAAGACAAUCCAUUAAUUUCAUGAAAAUACAUAACAGGUUUUUGAACCUUAAUCUUCGAAAAUCCAAGUUGAGAAUGGGGGUAUUAAUUAAGAAACAAAUCUUUGUAUAUUUCUACCUCUCCUUCCCCCCUUUUUUUUCUUUUUUUUUUUGUUUUAAUAAGUUUAAGAAUGAUUUUUUUUUCUUUUUUUACAUUUUCUUUCGGGGAAGGAGAGGUAGAAAUAUACAAAGAUUUGUUUCUUAAUUAAUACCCACAUUCUCAACUUGGAUUUUCGAAGAUUAAGGUUCAAAAACCUGUUAUGUAUUUUCAUGAAAUUAAUGGAUUGUCUUUGAGAAUCUUCACUCCCAACUUUCUCAGGCUUUACAGGGAGGGGCUUAAAUCAAUUUUUUUUGCACGAACUUUAAAGCAACAUUUGUAUAGGAUGUCAUAUAUACCUCCAUGACACACCCAAAAAUAUAGGAAAACAAAAAGAAAAAAAGCCCACAACAAUGAAAUGAAUACUCUUCAAAAUUCCAAAGUAAUCAUGUCUCUCUUUAAUUUGAGUACAAAGUAAUCCUCUCAUAGUUGGGAUAAAUAAGUACAUAAUUAAGCUGUUGAUACUAUCGAAUUUUCUGCCGUUAGUUCUACCCUUUAAUCAUUUCCAUCCGUGAGAUUAUAUUAUUCAACCAACCGCCCACUCAACCCUAGAGAAUGACUAUCAUCCUAAUCUGAGAUUACUAUCAUCCUAACAGUAUAUCCUUUCAUCCAACAGUCGAAAAUUCGAUAGUACAAAAUGUUUGGUACUAUCAAUAGUAUAGUAGUAUAAUUCUAAACAAGUCCGGCUACUAUACUAUCGAUAGUAUCAAGCUUUUGGUACUAUCGAAUUUUCUGCCGUUAAAUCUACCCUCUAAUCAUUUCUAUCCGAUAAUUUAUACUAUUUAACCAACCACCCACUCAACCCUAAAGGACUAUUAUCAUCCUAACUGUACAUCCUUUUAUCCAACGAUCGAAAACUUGAUAGUGCGAAGUGCUUAGUACUAUCGAUAGUAUAAUAACAUAAUUCUUAAUAAACAAUACGAGCAAUAUAUGCCAUAUAUAAAAACAAACAAGUAUUAGCAAAGUUGCCACAAAAUAGAGAGAAAUUAUUGUUUUGUAUGCGACAACUCUAUUCAACAACAAUAACUCACUAAUAUCAGAUUAAUCAAUUGCUCACAAGAGGCACCAAAACAAAACAAUAACUCUCUUCAUGAACGAUAAAGUGAAUCAGAACUCGAACUGUGACACUCGAAAUAGUCCCGCAUGGAAUAAUGUAGGAGAGUGUGAAAGACUUAUAUAUAACAUAUACACUAUAACUAAUAACUGAGUUUAAAUAUUUUGGAUCUGAAUGAACUAUUACUGCCAAUGAACUAGAUCGUUAUACUUGAUAUUAAAAACGGUUUACUAACCGAAAGUGUGAGGUGGGCCUCACAUUACCUAGUGAACUCGAUUAAAAUUCGAACUUUAUCCAAACGCGACCAAGUAUAAAAAUUAAAAACAGUAACCGUCCCAAUAACAAAAAAAAAAAAAAAAAAAAAAACGAAACCACAACAGUUGGAUUUUAAACUUUUAUUCCCAUAAGUGGAACUUGAAUCGAAGGUAUGAGAUGAAAUGAAAGAACGAAAGAUUGAGAAAGAGUGGUGUACAAAGCGUGCACCGGGUGUAAUCAAUAAUUUCUCGUAGUAACAACACCAACACUAAAGGCCCAUCACAAUCAACAGUAUAAAAGGGAAACAUAUCAUUCGAUUUGUGCAAAAUUGGUAUUCAAAAUUUAUUACUUUCACUACGCACACCAUUAAAUGUCGGGAAAAAAAAAAAAGUAUGUAAAAUAUCGAAUUCUUUAAAUUUGAGAAAGUUUAGCUACUUAAAUGUAUUUAGGAGAAAGUUCAAGGGCUAAACCACAACAUUAGAGCUAAGUGCAAAGGGCCUUUUUGCAAUUUAUCCUAAUAAAUGCAGAGGUGCAAACAAAGCUAUUGAGAACAUUACUGUAUUCACCCAUUAAAGGCUAAAUUACACUUUUGUUCCUCAAACUAUGACGAUGGUGACAUUUUGAUCCUUCAACUUUAAUUCGUAAUAAUUUUUGGCUCAAACUUUGUAAAUUAUUAUAAUCAAAUCCCACAGCAUAAUUUAAUUGACUAAAUAUUGACGUUUCGGUAAUGUGAAAAUAAUGUGUUAUCUUAAUUAUAAUAAUAGUUCAUAAAAUUUGAGCCAGAAAAUGCAAACGAAUUAAAGUUUGAGGAUCCAAAAUGUAGUUUAGCCUCUAUUAAAUUACUCGAAAUAUUAUCCCAAACAACCAAAUUGACUCAAUUUCAUGAAUGAUCAGCUCAUAGAUCAGGAAAUUUCAUGCAUGAUCAGCUCAUAUCCAUGUUUAGUUGCAAACAAAAUUCCUUGAUUAAUGAAUCAUAGCACACUAAAAAGUGUCAUUAUUUUCGCGAAGACAUGCUUCUUUUUUUUUCUUUUUCUUUUUUUUUCCUUUUUUCACUCUAUCAUAAUAGCUGCCAAAAAUGAGGAUUAUGGGUCUAAGCUAGUAAUACACAGGUAAAUAAAUAUACUUAUAUAUACAAAAUUAUAUGAAGAUACAGCUAACCCGCUUUAGGUAGUUAUGGAGAGCAGUGGUGAUGGAUGGAUGAUUACAAGGUUCCUGCAACAAAAUGUAGCAAGUACAGUUAAUCGGCGACAUGUUAUAUUCGUGACUAGAUUUACAAGCUAACAACGUAAAGAGUACAUGUCAGUGUACGAGUAGUUGGAGAUGAUGUUAAUCGAUUGCGAAAAGUUCAAAGAGGCCUUCCUAGGAUCUUUUGGGUGUUUAGUUCCCAAGAAAAGCUCAGAAACUGUUCUUCAGGAAAAAGGUUUUCAAUGGAAAACACAACCUUUUCCACAGUUUUCGUUUUUUGGAUUAAAAAAUCCGGAAAACAACACUACUUUCGUAUGAAAUCUGGGAAGACUUUCCUAGGAAAUCUACAUUUCGAGGAACCAAAAAGACAGAAAAUACUUUUUCAGCUAGAAAACUAUUUUCUGAAAUAUUUUCCGGAAAACCAAACAACCCCUGAGAAAAUUUUAAAAUCGACAACCCAGAUGCGAAGUGUUGUUAUACUUUGAAACAAAUUGAGAUUUGCAACUACUACAAGCAUCACAAUCUAGCACUGGUUUGAGAUAGGCUAAAACUAUUUCAUUCAAAUAUCAAAUGAACCGAGUGAAGUUUAAAGUUUAAACACAUUUAAUUACCUCUUGGUCUUGCGUCUCCUGUGGUUGAUUCUGAAGUGGUUGAUCGUCGAGGAACACUGCUUAGAGAUAUCGGUGACAAUGUGGGAGAAGCAACUUCUUCCUUGCCCCCUGAUUUAUUAGGACCCAACAUCGUACCAACCCUAACUACAGGAUCUCUUUGAGCACUCGACGGUAUAGAGAAACUUCUAGUCAUAGAAGCUGGUGGUGCAGGGAGUGGCGACGCGGCUUGCGCGGCCGGAGAAGCCCUGCUUGUCGAAAUAAGCACUUGUCGUUUCGAAACCAACGGACCCGAAUAGCCCACCAAACUACUAGUAGGCCCACUUACCGGAGGUCUAGGGAGCUCGUGGAGUUCGCUAAUUUUGGGUGAGGAUAUUGGCGGCGGCGGCGAGGUUCUCUGUGGCGCGUAAUUGGGCCGUGGCUUAGGUGGAGAUGGGCCUUGAUUGGUCGACCAAGCUUUGCUCGUGAUUGGUCCGGAGAACGCUUCCCUCUUCAUCUUUUUAACGUCGGAUGUGGCGUAUGGAUAAACUAAAGGUGUACUUAUAGGCCCACUAUUAAUAUUGCUCCCCAUGAAAUCUUUUGUUAACGGAGACGAAUGCCACAAAUUCGUAGGCGCUCCUCCGCCACCUUUGCUUUCGAGACGAGCUGAAUAAUAUGCAUUUGUGGGGCCUCGUGAAGGCGAGUUCUUAUCGUCGACUGGGGUUGGAAGUACAUAGGAGUGGAACUUUCGCGUCGAGGAUGGUUGCACUUGUUUUAUUUUUUCAGAAGGAUCAAAUUUUGUAUCGGGGUAUAGUGGUGCAGAUUGACUUAAAGCCGCAGGGUUCGUUCUGAAAAUUAUGAAAUCUGAUUGGGCUUUUUCAGCAUUUUCCUGCAUCAAAUAGAACGAGUACUUGAAAUCAUUUUUUUGGGAAUAUCUACCUAUAAUCAGAAUCACAUUACAUUUACAAGAAUAGGUUAUAAGAGCAACCAUAACAGAUUAAAAAUAGCAAAGCAAAAAAAAAAAAAAAAAAAAAAAAAAAAAAAAAAAAAAAAAAAAAAAAAAAAAAAAAAAAAAAAAAAAAAAAAAAAAAAAAAAAAAAAAAAAAAAAAAAAAAAAAAAAAAAAAAAAAAAAAAAAAAAAAAAAAAAAAAAAAAAAAAAAAAAAAAAAAAAAAAAAAAAAAAAAAAAAAAAAAAAAAAAAAAAAAAAAAAAAAAAAAAAAAAAAAAAAAAAAAAAAAAAAAAAAAAAAAAAAAAAAAAAAAAAAAAAAAAAAAAAAAAAAAAAAAAAAAAAAAAAAAAAAAAAAAAAAAAAAAAAAAAAAAAAAAAAAAAAAAAAAAAAAAAAAAAAAAAAAAAAAAAAAAAAAAAAAAAAAAAAAAAAAAAAAAAAAAAAAAAAAAAAAAAAAAAAAAAAAAAAAAAAAAAAAAAAAAAAAAAAAAAAAAAAAAAAAAAAAAAAAAAAAAAAAAAAAAAAAAAAAAAAAAAAACUUCGAUCACGACUUACGUCGAACUAAUGAAGUAUUUGGGGCUUCAAUUUUAUACUGCAACCAUAAAAGCAAUUCAACUGCAAGAAAUUUAAAAGACUUUACCUGCCUAUGUUCCUUCGAAGGCUCUGGGCUAACCGUCUGAUUUACUUGAUCUAACUGCAUGCCAAAAAAAAAGGGCAAUACUUUAACAUGCCGAAACUCCGAAUAAUAAAAAAACUCAACUUUUGUUCUGUUUGAUCUGAGUAAUUUCUGUUUGUUAAAUCUGGGAAAGGUGAUCCUCUUUUAAAUUUCACAGCUCUUAAGUGCUUUUCAAUUAGAAUGAGAAAUUGAAGUUAUGGGGUCUACAUCAAAAGGCCUAGAGUUGAGGGGUUUAACUAGAUUUUAACCAGAAGAAAAUGAGUUCCGAAGGUGCAGGGCAAAAAUCUAUACCUCCAUGGAGUUUCUAGAUGCAAAAGCAUCGUCUCGGUCUCUAUUAUUUAUUCCAUAGUCAAAACUCAAUUCCCCAUCAUCGUCAUCACUGUGAUCAUUCCCGUAGUAGUCGCCAUCAUCAUUCUCGGAGUCAUCAUCUUCCAGACCACUAAACUGAUAAUCAAUAUGCUGCUUCUCGGCAACCUCCUUUACAUGAGGUUCGAUCGCCUCGAGGUACUUAAGCCCUUUCCUGAAGAAACUCAACUGAUAUCGAACGCGAGUAAGGUUACACAUUGGGAAUGUGAGAUUUCAUGUAAAAAUGGAGAAACUAACAGGUAAAUUACAAACAUGGUCGAAUGGCUUAUUGUGAAAUUUCACUCAGAUGACCGGUCUUUAAUUUGUUAGAGUUGCUGUAAACUUGUAAAGUACUUCAAGAUCAGUCGUAAUCAUGUCCAUUCAUUAAGUGCCAUUGAAUUUUUGGAGUAUGAUGUGACACAUCUCUUCAUCAGUGAAUUAAAUGAUACUUAACUCCCUGUUUAGCAACACCGAAAUCAGUGGAAUUGGGUGGAAUUCCAUCUCACUUUUCCUAAAUUCCCUUAGAUGGACAAUUUUAUUGGUUCAUGACUCGAAAUGAUUUUCCACUGAUUUGGAAACUGUCGGACCGAAUUGUACCAAAAUUCGAAUUUCAGUGCAUCAAUUUCAACAAAUUAAAGUUUAGCAACCCAAGUAAAACUGUUUGAUAAUUUCAGUGACCAAUUUUGGUAUGGUGAAGGAGAGCUUUAGUCAUACCUGGGCGGCAUGGUGGCGGGCGGCCUGUGUGAGAAGACUUCGACAUUGACCUUGCUUUAGUGAUUUUAAUCGGAACACAAACAAUGCUGCCUCCUCUUCAUAGUCGACCAAAGCUGCUUCUAACUGCUCUGCAGAGUAAGUUUCGCUUUUGGCGUGCCUUAACUUUCCCUUUUCUCUAUAUGCCGCCAACACGAGUUUAUAGUAAUCUCUGAAGAGAAAUACGCUAAAGAUGAGCCUUCAUUAUAAAUAAGGGUGAAGAGAAAAUAUCAAGGGAGCUACAUACCUUUUACCAUCACACUGGCGCUUCAUAUCCUGCGAUGGAAAAUAAAACUCAUGAAACAAAAAGCAGAUUAUCGUUUGAUUUUAGCUAAUAUCCCAACCUUCAUGAGGCGAAGAUUUUUGGGUACAAUGCAAGUGAAGGGAAAAUUACUGAUUCACCAGAAAAAAUAAAAGAGAUAGAUAGAAAAUUAAUAAUUUAUUAUUAUAAUUAAGUGAAUUUCUAGCAUAGGAAAUUAAAUGUAAAUAUGCCCUGACUGCAUGAUACGCUUGGCUUUCUACGUCCUAACUUAUAAGAUUUUGUUUUCUUUAUUUUUUUCAGACAAACUCAGAAAAAAUUAGAACAUGCAUUUGUUUCACAAUAAUUAGGAGUGCGCAGUUCAUUAUGAUCUUUAACAUUAUAAUAUGCUACAUAUUCAAUAGAACUGACCUCUACAUUCUGAAGCUCCCUGAGGAGAGACUCUGAUGGGUUCGUAAUUGUGUGGACAAUAUUGGCUCGCUGAAAAAUGAAGUAAAUAUAAAUAGCACCCACUAUUAUUGAAGCGUUUGCUGGAAAUAUGGAACAAGCGAUGUUACAUUAAUAGCAAAAGCGACUCACAUAGCUAUCUACAAGUUUCUGAAGUGCGAACUGUGCUUUGCCCAGCAUCAUCAAAGCUCUACCUGUACGCAAAUACGAAAAAGCUAUAGUCUGGUCGCUAAAGUAAGCUUAAAUAUUAAAUAAAUUUAGUCCUCGUGCUUGCAAAGUUUAAAUUCAAAUCUUGCAUACCAAAUGCUUAUAAAGAAAGACUUACUGCUAUCUUCGUCGUCAUUCAAUGCAGUUUUUUCAAGCAAACAUGAACCCAUUUCCUCUAACGCUUCUGAGAACUCUGCAAGAACAUAUAGACACCUUUAGAAGAGAAUACAACAGCAUAGAAAUAGGUUGUUUAUAUAACAUGCUGGUCAAAAUAUUUGAAAAAAGGUUUAACAACGAAUUAUGGUAAAGAAGAUUAAAGGUCAUUUUGAGGAAGAAAACAAAGAUAAAAAAAGAAAAAAUCAUGGUAAUCCUAGAGAGAGGACAAUUUGUAGACCCACAUUCCAUUUGAGCAACUUAACAAUUACGUCAACUCGAACAUGCAUCUUUGCUGCAAGGCUCAAAUAGUUGCAUGAAGAAAAAAGUAGUUUGAAGAGAUAGUUGAUGUACUUCUAGCAAUCAAUAAAAACACAUCUGUUUUUUUCACAGAGACUACUAAAUACAAGGGAAAGCACAGAACAAAAGCAUAAAGCUUUAACUACAGAAAAUUUCAGGUAGAACAUUAAAUACCAUAUGCACUGUUUGUAGUGGCAGCUGCAGCAGAAAGCAAGCUAUCGUAGCAGCCCCGCAUUUCCUGCAUCUCCUGAAAAAAUAAGGCACCAACAAUGAGAAUCAAAAGUAAAAUACUAGAUACUAGAUGGUGGUGUACAAAUACGACAUAUUUCAUAACCUUUUCAACUUCAAACGAGAUGCGAAAAGAAAUGCAUAUCAACUAUAAGUGGCUAAACAGCAUGUAUAUAUUACAUUACAUAUAUAGUGGAACCUAUAAUAUAGUAUAUUCCAAAUAUAUUAUAAGGUUAUAAGGUAAUGAUAGUUGCCAUAUAUACCACCUCUUGUAAUUAUAUAUACGCAUCAAUGGAACCCUAAGGGGAUAAGCUCUUUUGCCCUUCUUUCAAGACAUGCAAAUAGUUUUGCAAUUAUAGCCCAGUUUGAUGUCAAAACAAUUUAUACCUUUAUACAAUUAUAACAAUUGUAGGCAAAAACUUUGGGCUCUGGUCAAUUAUGAGCAUAGGAAUCUAGAAUCGCUAGAUAGUCAAUUCAAGCAAUGAGGUCCUGAUUUAUCAUAUCCUGCGACGGUAAGGAUUGCUUUUAUCCUUAUUACCUCACGUAAAAUUAAUUUACCAUCACUCACUAAAACGAACUACUUUACGAUUGAUACUUAAAUUCAAACUUUCUUCUAUUCAUUGAUAAUUGUAAUAGAAUUUUUCCACUCUUGAGAACUCCACUGCAACACAAAGGUAACAAGACAUAAACGCAGUAAAAUCAUUCCAUAAAACUUCAUCAAAGCGCGGUUUCAACAGUUCGUGGCUGAGCAUUUGCCUUAUAGAAGUUAAGCAACCCAUCUAAUACAUAGCUUACGUAUAUAGUAAAAAAAGUAGGGCCAAUUUUAAAAUAGAUCUGCGAACCAAGUUUGUUGCUUUGGUUUGCUGUUAUUCAAGUAACUGAAAUUGUGGAUAUUUUUAAAUUACGGCCUCUAUUCAGCAAUAUACUUGUUUUUGAUUUGCUAAAAAUUUCCCGAAAGCCCAGUUAGAGUUUAAUCAAAAAUCUAAAUUUAAAUAAGUUAGAGCAAUUCAAAUCAAAAGAAAUUACAAAGUCAAAGAAGGUCUCAAUCAGAAAAGAUAAGUUGUAGAGCGAUUGCAUUAUCAAUAGUCCUAUAUAGUUUAAGGUUUUUCUCAAUUGCAUUUUUACCUAAACGGUUUUCACUUUUCCUAAACAUAUAUCAGAUCACAAAGAGGAUCCAAAUGUUUUUUGUAAUAAAUUCUUGAAGCAGAUAGUUGAAGAAACCAUACAGCUAAUCUAACUUCACUGUAAAUAGAAACACCAAUAAGUUUUUAAACAAAAAAAAGAAAAAAAAAGCUUUUAUAAAGAUCAAAUAUACAAAACCACACGACAAAGCGUAAAAAUCGAAAGAAAAUCUCAACUCAAGCGUAUAGAUCAAUAAGACGACUCCAGAUAGAUCUUGUUCCCGAUCGGAAACCUAAAAAUGGGAUCUUGAGGCGUGACCGAUCCCGAUCCCGGCCGAUCUCGAUCUUCGAUCGUACCGUGGGCUCAGCAUGCACUAGGUGUCGAGGCCUUCGCGGGGCCCGGACUCCUUCUUCUCCGCUGUUGUGUUUGCUUGGAACCCUCGAACCCCGAGUCUGUCCGAAGGCGGCGACUUCAUACUCUCCAGAGAGAGAUAGAGAUGUGUGUGAUGAGCGAGGAGAGAAGAGAGAGAGAGUAGAGAGGGGAAUCGUGGAGGGAUAAAGAAGAAGAAUAGAGGAAGGAGAGAGAGAGUGAGAGGAGAAGAGAGGCCAGGAUCCAAAAUGGAAAGGGAGAACAGGAUUUUGAAGAAGACUCUCUCUCUCUCUCUCUUGCUUUCUUCUCUCCUCUCGCAUCGCUCGUCUUCUUCUCUCUCCUCUCUCCUCUUCAAUCGUCUCUCUUAAUUUUCUCUAUCUAUUGAUUGACGUAUUUGACUCAGAGAGAAGAAAAUAAAGUGGCGGUGCAAUUACUCAACCCCACACCUAUGUUCGUCUGAAAUAGACCCUAAUUUUUUUGGAUUACAUUUCAUAGGAUACCGCUGCAAACAUAAUAACGUUAGUAAACAUAACCCUACAAAAUUCAACUUUUAUAUGUGUCUCUACAAAGAGUCCUAAUAUUUUUAACCUGAUGUCCUCUAGUUUGUUACCCGUUAAGAAUACUAUUUAUUUAUAAAUGAUAUGAUCUUUUUACAUCAUAAAUAACGCACCUUUAAAAAUCAUCAAUUGAUUAAUUAAAAAAGGUAAAAAAAGUCAAUUUAUCUCAAUUAGAUAGCUAUGGUUAAGUAUUUUACCUAUAAAAAGUGAAAGCUAAUUUUUUUUAAUCUGGAUCCUGAACGCAGAACAUAUUUGAAAUAUUCAAAGCUAUUUUACACGAAAUAAUAUGUGAAAGUUUGAACUGUCGUAGUGAAUAUUUGUAAUUCACUAUAAUUUAUCAGGGACAUAUAUAAGAAAUUUAAUUUUUUUAAGAAAAAACUAAUAAAACUCCCUCCUGUUUACCACUUUUCAUUUUACUUACUUUGUUAUUUUAAACUUGUAUCACUUACUUAUCAUGGUUUUUGUAUGAGAAGUUUAUUAUUUUUUAAUUGAACACGAUCUUAAUUUUUAACUUUGUAAAAGUUGUAAAAACUUACUUUCACUUAGCUAUUUUGAUUCGUACUUACAGAAUUGUUCAAAAUUUUGCUUUGAGUAUCAAACUUUUAAUUUAUUGAUAUACUCUUAAUCCAUACAUAAUUUACAGCUUAUUUUUUAUUUUAAAAUUAACUGACUGUAUAUACUGGCUGUAAAAAUUGAAUUAAAAAGUUUGGUUGCAAAAUAAAAUUUUUAAUCAUUAAGUAGUCAAAUCAAAAAAAGGUGAUAGUUUAGGCAAGUUUUAAACACUUUUUACCCUUUUUUUUUUGAAGAUAAGGUGAUUUUAAGUAAAAAAAAAUUUGAGACUUCAUUUAUUAGAUUAUUUGUGAUUUUAUCAAAUUUAAAAUUUUAAUUACUUUUAAAAAUUUUGAUAAAUUUUUAGCUUUAUUAAGUAUUGAAACUCAAAUAAAAAAAAGUGAUUGAAUAUAAAAUUAUUUUAGUUAAAAUUUUAAGAAAUUAUUUUAUUAAACUAUUCAAAUUAUUUUAGUUAGAAAUCGGUUAAAAUUAAGAAUUAUUCUAAUUUUAUUUACUAGAAAGUAGAAAGUGAUAAAAAUCUAAAAUUAUUUAAUUUUAAAAGAUUGAAAAUUUAGAUGUCUCUAUCACAAAAUUUAAAUAAAGACUCCUCAAAUUUUUUUUUAUUUGAGUUAAUAUAAGUAGUUAUGUUAAAAUUUUAGAAAGUGAUAAAAAUCUAAAAUUAUUUAAUUUUAAAAGAUUGAAAAUUUAGAUGUUUCUAUCACAAAAUUUAAAUAAAGACUCCUCAAAUUUUUUUUUAUUUGAGUUAAUAUAAGUAGUUAUGUUAAAAUUUUAUAAUUUAAUAGAUAUAUAUUAGCUAUUAGCUGUUAAUUAAUCUAAUUUUAUCUGAUAGAAGAUAAUUAAAAUUAUUAAAAAUUUAAUAAAAUCAUUAAUGAAAUUAACAAAGUUUCUACUUCACUCACUUUGGAAAAAUCAAAAGCCGAGGGAUGUUAGUCCAAAAAAUAAAAACUGAGGGGGUUAUUUGCAAGAUGGCCCACAAUUAAUAAUUUAGAGGGGUCUUUUUACACGGUGUGAGAAUAGCAACGUUUUUUUUUAUCUUUUCCUUUCCGCUUUGACGGAUUAGUACAUAACGGCCGUUAAAACAGUUAUAAUUACCGUUAUAGCUUUUCACUUUAGCUAUUGUUCAAGUAAUUAACACAAAAAUUAAAAAAAUUAAUUUAAUUUAAAAUCUUAAUAAUAUAAUUUGUAAAAAAGUUUUCAAAGUGAUGUUGUUUAGGUACCACCAAUGAUUUAUGACCAAAAUUGAUGGUUUCAAACAAGGAAUGGGUCAUCAAAAUAAAUAUUUUAAUUUUAUUUAUUUAUUUAUUUAUAUAUAUUCAUUUCUUUAAAACCUUAAACUCCUUAUAUUUUAUGCCAUUAUUAGAUUACAACAGAUAAAGUUUGAGAAUUAAAAUGUCACGUAGUUCAAAUUUAAGAACCAAAAAAUCUUAUUUAGCAAAAUCUCUCUUAUAUUAAUUUAAAAGGACCAACAUUGUGUCUCAUAAAAUAGGUCGGAUUGAACUGAAUCAAAAUCGAAUUACACGAGCGUUGCGUGUCUGUAUACUUUAAGCAAAUUAGUUGUCCCUUUUCUAACAGCUUGAAUUUUUUAAAUUAUUGCAGUAUCCAAUCUCGUAACAUUGUACAUCUAUACACUUUAAGUGAAUUUAUUGUUUUCUUUUGAACAGCUCGAGCUUUUAAAACUGUAGUUAGCGCUUACAAUCAAACAUCUUGUAGCUUAUAAUUGUGGUAUGAACGAAAGCCUAAGACUAACAUGUCGUUUGAUAUUUUUCUAUCUUCUUAAACAUUAAUUAGUUAUAAUUUGAAAUACCGACGUGAGAAUCUUAUUAUUAUUGUUGGUUAAUGAUGUUUGAUAUUUCAAAAAAAAAUAUUUCAAAAAAUAAUUUUUUUUGCUGUAAAAUUAUUUUCCGUUCAUUUUGUUUCUAAAAAAAUAAUUCUUCUGCAAUUUUUGUUCAGAUUAUAUAAAAAAAUAGUUUUUUUCAUUUUUCAUAUCUUUUAUCUGAAAAAUAAAAAUCGAGAUAAAAAGUAUUGUCCGUGAAAAACUUUCUUUUCCAAAAUAUAAUUUUUUAGAUUUUUUUUUCGAGAGACCAAAAACUUCAUUGAUUGCAAUAUAAUAUAAUAUAUAUAUAUAAUAUAUAUAUAUAUAUAUAUAUAUAAUAUAUAUAUAUAUAUAAUAUUAAUAGUAUAAUAUAAAAUAAUGAAACGCGCUUAUGCUUUAAAUAGUACCAAGUUGUAUUGUGCUUGAUAAUUUUUAGCCAAUUGGAUUAAGAAUAGGCAGUAGGAUGAUGUGGGCCCCUAGGUGAGUGGCGUGGUUCGGUUGAAUAGUAUAAAUCUAGAACGGGUGAAAAUGAUAGUGGCCCCCUAUUGAUCUAUAUAUAUAUCUGAGAGAGAAGAGAGUUGAGCUAUGAACUUUGACAAAGUAAUCACCAUCAUGGUGUAUUAGGUUUUAAGCCAUUGGAUCUACUUUUGAUUAAUUAAUACUCUUAUAUAUCACUAAUUCACUACCACGCCACCUACCACCAUGCUCUCAACGCUCACAUCUCUCCAUCCAAAGGGCUAAAAACACACAAGUAUCACCCCAUGAUAUUAUGUUACAAGUAUUCUAGCCCACCUAUAUUAUAUAAUAAUAUAUAGUUAUACUAAUAUGUUAUUAUAGUAUACUAUAUACUAGAUAUAUUGUAGUAUAGAAUAUAUAUAUACCUAUAAAAUUUUGGCUAGAACUAUAUCAGUAGUAAACAAGCCGCCGUUUUACUAUCUAUUUGUUUUCGAUGAUACGAGCUUCAUUGGACGAUCGGCUCCGUUGAACAUGAUCUAUACCACUUGAAGUGUUUAGAAAUCAAAUUUCAAAUCUUUUCAACAUCAUUUGCCUAAUGAUCAAAGGGUUUCAAAAUUUGUAAUUUUAAUGGUCGAUAAGAGGCGUUUUCUCGUUUAACUGCGUAAAGAUAUCUAAAUCAAUUGAAUUUUUUGUUAAAAAAUUCUUUAAACUAUUUAGAACAAGAUCUAUACUCUUGAUCUUGAUUACAAUACUCUUAUCAUCAUUUUUUAAAGAAUAUUUAUUUUCAGCCAUUCAUUUUUCUGUUCACUUCAUGGAUAAAAGAACAAUAUCGAAAGUGCGCGCGAAAUUUGAUUUCUAGGUAGUUUAAAUAGUUUAGAUCAUAUUUAACGGAGCUGAUCGUCAAUUUGAAAGCUCUAUCAUCGAAAACAAAUCGGUAGUAAAACGGCUCGUUUACUAUCGAUAGUAUUCUAGCUCAACUCUCUCUCUCUAUAUAUAUAUAUAUAUAUAGAGUCCGGUUAUGGUGCUUGUAAAAGCACAAACCACUUGGUGCUUGUAAGUUUUUUACCGUUAGAUCUACUCCUCAGAUCAUUUUCAACCGUUAGAUUAUACUUUCAACCAACCACCCACUUAACCCUAGGGGACCCACACCAUUCUAACCGCAUAUUCUUUAAUGCAAGGGCCGAAAACUUACAAGCACCAAUGACUUGGUACUUUUAAAAGUAUAGAAGCUCAAUUCUAUAUAUAUAUAUAUAUAUAUAUAGAAAGAGAGAGAGAGAGAGAGAGAGAGAGAGAGAGAGAGUGCGGCUAGGAUGCUUAUGGAAGCACGGAGGGCUCCGUGCUUUCACUUUGUUUUCGAUGUUCGAACUUUCGAAUCGACAAUCGGCUCCGUUAGACUUGAUCUAGAGUAUUUGAAGUGUCUAGAAAAUAAAUUUUGCGAUUUUUCGAUAUCAUUUGCCUAGUGAUCAAAGUGGCUCAAAAUAGUGUUGCUGAGAGAGGAGCACUCAAGAAGAUUUAGUGGCAUCUCAUGAACUGGGAAAGUUGGAGAAUGGAAGAGAGGGGCAUGCAUGGCUCCCUUUCUUUUUCUUUUUUCUUUUGUUACUCUUCUCCCUCUUCUCUGUUUUCUUCUUCUCUUAUUACUCUCAUUCCGUCUAUUUUUUAUUUUUUUUUUCUUUCUUCUUUUCUAAGUGUGUUGGUGUAGGUGCAAAAUUGGGAGAAUUGGAAUAGGUGAUGAGGACGGCACCGGUGGUUUUGCCAGCAACAGCGGCAGACAGCAGGGCAACGGAGGCGGCUUCUGCGGCAUCAACGCCGAUGGCCUCGCCUCACCUCACCUCGAUCUCACCCCACCAUUAAGGGAUUUUACCAUUUGCUUAGUUCUUAUUACUAUGAACAUCUCAUAUGCCCACAAUAGUGAAAAAAUAAAAAUAAAUUUUUAAAAAAAUUAAAGAAAGACAUGACUUCUACAUAUGGUAGUAAGAUAGAUCUUUAUCCAGAUUUACACAAUUUUUUAUUUUUUUAAAAUAAAAAUAUAAUAAAAUGAUGAAAUUUGAUCGAACUAAUUAUGUGUCAUGUUAAUUUUGUUCAUAUUUUAAAGAUGAAAAAAAAUGAUGAGAUUGUGUAUUGAACAUAUGAUCCAGUAUGUUGUAUGUGUAUUUUAAGUUGUUGUUAUUAUUAUUAUUAGUCUGGAUAACGGGGGGCAUGGGAGGAGGAAAGAAUGCUGAUGUAUUGGUUGAAACAUUCUAAAAUUCUCAUAUACCCUAAAAAAAGAUAAAGAAAAGGAUAAAAAAAGAGAGGCCUGUAGUAUAUCUUCACAACUUCUUAUCUAUUUUCAUUUUUUUUAUUUUUGAUAUUAUGUUUUUUUUAUUUUUUUUGGAAAGUUCAAAAUGCCUUUUUUUAAUAAUAAAAAGUAUUAUUAUGUAGGUGAAUUUCUGAUCAUUUUUUUUCUAUUUUAAUUUUUUUUUUCUUAACUUUUCUAGAGCAUAUGAUCCAUUUUUACUUUAUUUAAUCUUACUUUUUCUUAACCAUAGUAUAAAAUUAAGUACAAAUACAAUAUCUAGGUGAAUCUCUUUUUAUUGAAUAGAAAUGAUUUAUGCUUCACAACUUCUUCUGUGGCAUAUAUUUUUCUUCUUAUAUUGGCAAAAAAGAAAAAACACAAUAUUUAGAUAAAUCUUUUUUUGUUUACUUUUUUUUAACUAUAAAUUUUUCUAUUUUAUUUUUCUACUUAACUAUUUCAUUAUAAUUUUACUUAACUAUGAUAUAAAAUUAAUCGUUAACUGCGCUUCGAUCGUUAACCGCAGCGAAGCACGGGUUCUAUACUAGUACUCAUAUAUAUAUAUAUAUAUAUAUAUAUAUAUAUAUAUAUAUAUAUACUUUGGUCAAAUAUUGAAUGACAACUUAUUUAAAAUAUUCUAAAUUUUUUUAAUUAUUAUUUUUUUUAUUGCCGAAUAAAUUCUAAGCGGUGAUAGAAUGGGGAACAAGGUCUAAGACUUUUACUUUUAAAUUUGAAAAAAAAAUUUAACUUUAUACAAAAAAAAUAAAUAACAAUUGUUUGAAGCUUCACAUUUUAGUACAAAAUCUAAAAAUAUUUUAUUAAUAAAAUAUUAUUAUUAUGACAGGUUAGAUUUGUCUAAUACUUUAGCAUGUCAUUAGUCAUACAAAGAAUUAAUUUUUGAAUAAAAAUAUAAUAUUAGCUUUUCUUUUUCUUCAAAGUCUCAAUCACUUUUAUGUAGAUAAAAUAAAACAGAUUAACAAUUGCAUCAUUGGUCUUCAAUUUUUAUAUAAUUUUAUUUUAGCUUUAAAUUUUUUUUGAAUUUUUGUAACUAAGUUUUUGGUCGUUGUUUAUUGUUUCCAAAGUCCCCCCUCCACCAUAAAUUUUUGACAAAAUAAUAAAACUUUUAGAAAAAACUUCAAAUGCCAUCUCCGCGGUUUCACACUUUCUCACUUUAGUACCCUAUAGUUUAAAGUGUAUCAAUUUAGUACCCUAUGAUUUUAUUUUUAUUUUUUUAUUAUGGAUUCCACUAAUUUUUUCGUUAAUUUUUUCGUUAAAUCAGUGACAAAGUUAAAACUAAAGGGUACUAAAAUAAAUAUUUGAUAAACUAUAGGUGGGGUAUCUGAAGUUUUUUGUAUGUGAUUUAACGAAAUAUUAGUGAAAAAGCUGACGAAAAGAUAAAAAUGAAACCACAAGACACUAGCUUAAUGCACCUUAAACCAUAGGGUACUAAAGUGAAAAAGUGCGAAACCACAGGGCUGGUGUUUGAAGUUUACCCAAACUUUUAACAUAAAACAAUUUGUUAAAAUAAUAAAUAGUUAUUAGAAAUUUAAUUCGAAAAAGUAAAAUUUAGAAAAUAGAAUAAAAAUGUAAUAUUUUUGUUCAAACACUUAAGCUACUAAAGAAGACCUAAUUAAAUGCAGGAAAAAUAAAUAAUGUUAGGAGUUUGUUGUUACGCGAACGCAUAAUUUUUUAUUCUAAUAUUAUGUUAAAUACUGCAAAAUAUUAUUAUUCUUUAAAAAUUUAAGCUAAUAAAAUAUGAUAAUUUUAUACUUUUAUAUUCAAUAAUAGUUUGAAUCAAAUAAUU